UAGAGGUGAGUAAACUUGAGCUUCAGCUUUCCUCAAACACCUUAAUUUGAAGACACAGUUCUCUCAUACUAAAAAAGACAUGGAAGUUUGCCUUGUAAUUAGAGAUUUGGUUUCAUUGCUUGUUGUUGGGUUAUUAAUGAUAUGGGGAUGGAGAACUUUAAACUGGGUAUGGCUGGCCCCAAAAAGGCUCGAAAGCUGCUUGAGACAACAGGGUUUUGCAGGGAAUCCUUACAGGUUCCUUUCUGGUGACAUAAAAGAGCUCUUCACUAUGAGCAGACAAACAAGAGCCAAACCAAUGCCUCUUAGUGAUGAUAUUGGGCCUUAUGUUGUUCCUUUUCAACAUCAAACUGCUAACCAGUAUGGUAUGUUUUUUUUAUUUAAUCUGCAAAUUAUGAUAAUUCUUUGUUAUUUAUGUAUGGAAUUUAUUGGGAGGAAAUGCAGGAAAGAAUUCAUUUACGUGGUUUGGUCCAAGACCAAGGGUGAACAUUACGGACCCUGAAAAAAUAAGAGAAAUACUUAACAAAUUUAAUGACUUCCAGAAGAUACGUACCAAUCCUCUGCUUAAUUUGCUUGUAAGCGGCCUUGUUAACCUCGAAGGAGACCGAUGGAGCAAGCGUAGAAAAAUCAUAAACCCUGCAUUUCAUCAAGAUAAGUUGAAGGUAUAGAAUAGUGAUGGGUAAUCAGACUUUACAGAAAACAUCAUACUUAAACCAAUGCUUUUCUGAUUUAGAAAUAAUUGGAUGCAGAAUAUGUUGCCAGCAUUUUAUCAAAGUUGUAGUGACAUGUUAAGCAAAUGGGAGAAGAUGGUGUGUACAGAAGGAUACAGUGAGUUAGAUGUGAGGCCUUAUCUCGUAGAUUUGACAAGAGAUGUGAUUUCCCGAUCUGCUUUUGGAAGCAGCUUCGAAGAAGGCAAACGAAUUUUCCAAUUACUAGAGGACCAACUCGUUCUCACAAUCAAAUUAAUACAAACUGUUUACAUUCCAGGAUGGAGGUAACCGUCAACUUAAUUUACUUGAAAAAGGUUGCAAAUCUUGGAAUUGGCUAAAUUCGUGUUUGUUUUCUUGAAGGUUUUUGCCAACGAAGACAAACAGGGAGAUGAAGAUGAAACACAGAGACAUAAAAGAGUCGCUUAGGGAAAUGAUAAAGAGAAGGGAGAAGGCAAUUAAAGCAGGGGAAGAGAGCAAUGAGGACUUGUUGGACAUACUUGUGGAAUCCAAUAUCAGAGAAAUGGAAGCAAAGAAUAUGGGGAUGAGCAUUGAGGAUGUGAUUGAGGAAUGCAAGCUGUUUUACUUUGCUGGCCAAGAGACCACUUCGGUCUUACUGGUGUGGACUAUGGUUUUAUUAGCAAGGUAUCCCGAUUGGCAAAGUAAAGCAAGAGAGGAGGUUUUGCAUGUUUUGGGUGACAAUAAACCUGAUGCUGAUGGCCUUAAUCGUCUCAAAGUUGUAAGUCCCUAGCAUGUCUUUUGAAGGUCCGAUCAAUGAGGUCGACAACUCAAAAACUUUGUUUCUUUUUUCGCUAAUUCUACAGGUAACGAUGAUAUUGUACGAGGUUCUAAGGCUGUACCCACCGGUGGUUGAGCUAGGACGUUCCGUUCCAAAAGAAAUAAAACUGGGGAAUUUGUUGUUACCAGUAGGAACAGAAGUUUCGGUUCCGAUCCUGCAGAUCCACCAUGACAAAGAUCUUUGGGGUAACGACGCACGGGAAUUUAAGCCAGAGCGGUUCGCGGAAGGGGUUUCCAAAGCAACAAAGAGUCAAGUCACGUUUCUGCCAUUCGGAUGGGGUCCUAGGAUCUGUAUUGGCCAAAAUUUUGCUUUGAUGGAAGCCAAAAUGGCGAUGGCUAUGAUUCUCCAACGCUUCUGGUUCGAGCUUUCCCCUUCCUAUGCUCACUCUCCUUACAGCAGGGGAACUCUUCGUCCACAGCAUGGUGCACAGAUAAUUUUACAUAAACUUGGCUGUAAUUGAAUUGUUAUGUAAACAAAUCUUUGUGAAAACAUAGCGUUUUAGUGUAUCGUCAAAGUCCGGUGUCUGUAAUGGUACAAAUUCGAUGCAUGAAUAGUAAAUUUUGAGAUGUUUGGUGAAGUCCGAAAUAAUAUGCAGAAAUUGAGCGUCUAUGGUGGACAUAGUUGAGGGACUAAUGUGGUAAUUAUCAAUCAAAUAAUUCGGUACAAAGACUUGUAUGGAAAUUAAAGCAGGGGGAGUUGAAAAUGACUACUCUGCUUUGGGCAUCAAUUUAGAAAGAUUUAAAGUACAACUGUGUUAUCAGUUAAGGGAUUUGUUUUAAAGAGGGAAUGACAAUUAAACCUCAUGGUUUAUUUGUGCAAGGGAACCGAUGAUGGGAUGAUUAUUCUUAGUGGUAAAAAAAACCAUUAUGGAGGUUAUUACACUUGUUAUCAUCAGCUUAAAAUUCGAAUGGGUUCAAGUCGGAUUAUAUCGAGCUUGUAAGAUGAGUUCACGGACCAAGUUUGCAUAAUAAAAUACCUAAAUGAAAAAAAAUUCUAUUUUAGAGGGACGAGAGCCCCUAUCAACUCCCGGCUCAGCCACUAAACAAUACCUAUAUCAUAUAAAUAAAUACCACCAUCUAAAAGACUCAAAGAAAAACACUCAACAAAGGAUAAAUAGAUAGAUGUUGGAUAAGUGUCCAAAAUAUGAUUUAAGUGAAGAUACAUGUGGUAGGUGUUACGGAAAUGUGAAGACAAGAAUCCCACUAACGUAUGGGAUGUGUGCAGUUGAAUGUAGGGAGCAAAAAGAGGAGUGAAUCAUUUUGGUAACAUUUGGACAAGAAACAUAAUGAACAAAAUGGAAGGAGAGGAAGCUAGUAAAAGAAUUUUUUUGGGUCAUAUAAUUUGUUCAUUUUGGAGUUGAAUUAUAAUUUUUUUAUAUAUUAUUUUAAAAUUUUAAGGAGUUAAAACAAAAUUAUUUUAUUUUCAGAUGGUCAAAGUAGAGGUGAUAAUGGGUUGGGCUAUUCGGCCCGGCCUGACGAUUCACUCGAAAAAUAGGAGGGUUUAGGUAAAAAUAUAGGCUCGAAAUAGGGAUUUGAGCAAAAAAAGAGUCCCGUUUAGAAAAUGGGCCAGGCCUCGGGUAAAAUUUUUUGGGCCCAAGCCUGACCUGAAUUAUAUAUUAAAUAUAUUUUUUAAUUUUUAAUCAAAUAUACUUUUUUUUAUUAAUUUGGUUAUUAUUUUAGUUCUAAUUUGUUUCAAUUUUAAUAUAACCACUUUUUAUUAUAUUUUCAAUUUGUGUAUUGUUUUAAGAAUUGUUUUAGUCUCAUUUUUUUAUUUAUUUUUUGUUUUAAUAAUUGUUUUAAAAAUUUUUAUUUAAUGAAAUAAGCUAAAAAAAUUAAUAUGGGCUUGGCCAGGCCAGGCUCGGGCCUAGUAAUUUUCUUUUGGGCCGGACUUAGAUAAAAUUUUAAGCCCAUAUUUUAAAUUGGGUCCUAACCUAAAAAAUGAACCUAAAAUUUUAUAUGGGCCCGACUUGGCCCUUGAUUACCUUUAGGUCAGAGCUAUCCUCGUUUUGCAUUUCUUUGAGAUUCAGCCUUAUCUACUGUGAUUGCCCACUCAAUUGAGGGUUGAGUAGAAAGAUUUGGUGAAGCAAGCUAAGCUAUCAAUCAAGGUUUGCAUAAUUAUUUAAAUGUAAUUCUAAUAUUAAAAUAAUUUUUUUAUUAAUAUAGUAUCAACAAGCAUUAAAUGUAAUGAUCAUAUACUAUUACAUUUUAAAGAAGAGAAAACAUGUUUGAACUUUAAAAACCACGUUACUAAAAACAUUAUCACAAACCUUGAAAUAUAAAAAAUAAUUUUUUUAAUAUAAUAAAAAAUUAAUUUUAAACCCGAGCUGAAUAAAAUUCUAAUUUUAGUUAAUGAUACGAACAACAAAUCAAUAUUCUAAGCCCGAGCCCUGCUCAUUUUUUUAAUAAACACCAAAAAUUUAUUUUGAAAAUAAAAAAUAAAAAAAAUAUUUUAAAAAUAUUUUAAAAAUAAAAAAAAUUAAAAAUAAAUAUUUAUUAUAUAUUCAGGCCGGGCCGGGCUAGCCUUGGGCUAAAAAAAUGGUGCCCGAGGCCCGGCCCAUUUUCUAAAUAGGCCUCAUUUUUUGUCCAAACCCAUAUUUUGGGCCUAUAUUUUUACCCGAACCUCUCAUAUUUUGGGCGGACCGUCGGGCCGGACCGGGCCGCCCGGCCAUGAACACCUCUAGGGCAAAGUCACUCAAUGAAUGCAUGGAAAGAAAUAUUGCAACUUGGUGACAGCUUUUGUUGGAGUUAUAUGCUUUUUUUUACAUAGUGGAACUUUCGGUGGAUUUUCAAGUUUCAUGAACUUUAUACCCUAGGCUUUACGUGAAAAAAAUCAUUGGACUUAAAAGUCUACCAAAAGUUUCACUAUAAUAAAUAAAUAAAUAAAUAACAUUGCUACAAGACUACAACAUAAAGUUACAAUAAGAGCUUAUAACUCAACAAAGGCUAUCAAUAAAUAAUCUCAAGCAAGCUAAAGAGAAAUGUUGAGAGUACCACUCAAAUAGUGAUUGACUUUAAAAAUUGAAAACCCGAAGUUAUUGUUGACACCAUUUUUUGGAUGAAAAUGUGUCGACUUGGGUUUUGAAAAUGAAAACGAAAACGAGAGUCGCCACCAAUCCUUUUUGAUAAGGUGUGACUGGGUCACCUUGAAAAGUGGUUGUUUUUAAUAAACGAUUUGAUUUUAUUAAAACAACAGUUUUGGUCCACGAAAUUCAGAAAAAUGAGUUCGGGAGUCGGUUACGCACGAGGAAGGAUUAGCACCCUCGAUACGCCCAAAAUUGGUACCUAGUUGAUUACUUAAUGUCUUAAUGUCGAAAAUUGAAAACUUUGGAGAAUUUUAAACAUACGAUCCUUGUAUUAAAACGUUAAAAAUUUUCAAGAAAAUGGGAUAUUUCACGUUAUUCGAUAAAGAGAAUCAUAUCCUAGUAAGUUAGGACACAAUAUCUCGAAUUUCCGAUAUCAUUUAAAACUUGAGUUUGAAAAGAUUCGUGUAAUAAAGUUUAAAAUAAUAUUCAAUUGUUUAAAUCAAAUGAAGAAAUCGCAACCCAAUACGUUAGGGCACAAUUUCUCAAAAUAUUAAACAUUGAAUAUUGCAUUUAUUUCGAAAAAUCCUCAUCUCGAGAAAACGUGUCACAUCCAAUGCAUUAGAAUACAACGUAUUGAAUUCUCGAUAACGAGCUUUUUCUCAUUUUUUAAAAGAGUAAUCUCGAUUAUUUAGGUUCAACGAAGAAAAUCAAAACCCAAUACGUUAGGGCUCGAUUUUCUCAAAGAUUCCAAAUACCGAGUAUUACUUAUAUUUUUAAAAUUUCUUUUUUGAAAUCCGAGUAAAAAUGAAUGCAAAAUAAUAAAUGAUGACAAUGUAAAUAAAAUGAUACAAGCAAAACAAUAAACAAUAAAAAUAAUCAUACGGGCAAGGUAACAAAUAAUUAGGAACUAAAGAAAGAGAACAAACAAUAAUAAACAUGCAAAUAAAUGAACAAAAUUAACAACAUGAUGCAAAUAUGAAAGAUAUAUAAGCACAUAUAUAUACAUAAAAUAAUGAGAAUAUGAAAAAAUGUGUGUAAUUGGACAUGUUUCGGAAUUAUUAUACAUUUAAAAAUCAUGUAAAUGUGUGUACAUACAUAUAUACAUAUAUAAUAAUCAUUAAAUAUAUAAAAAUACAUAUGUGUAGGUAUAUAUGAGUCAUAAAAUGUAAAGAAUAUAUACAAGAUAUAUUUUGAACGUAUAAAGUAUAUGUAAAUGUAUAUAUAUAAUAAAGGUGUAUGAAAGCAUAUUUUAUAUACGUGUAUUUAUAAAAUGUAUAUAAAUGUAUAUUGAUUUACCAAUACAUAUGGAUUUAUAAUUAUAGAAUAUAUAUAAAAUAUUUACAUAUAUACGUUUAUGCAUAUAUAAAAGUAAGUUAUUAUAAAAUAUGAGCAAGCAGAAUACAUAAAUAUAUAUACAUAAAAUAAAAAUGAAGAUGAAAAUAAUAUAAAACUACUUAAUAUAUUAAUAUAAUAGUAACAAAUUAAAAAAACAGAAAAUAAAGCUAAUAAUAAUUAAUAAUAGUAGUAAUAAUUAUAGCAGCAAUGAUAAUGAUAAUAAUAAUAACACUAAAAAAAUUAAUUAAAUAAUAAAAUUGCUAAAAAGGGAUUAAAUCGAAAUAAAAACAUAAAUACUGGGCGAUUUUGAAAUAAAAAACGGGAAGGACCGAAUUGCAACGCGCGUUGAAAAGGAAAGGGCCAAAACUGCAAAUAAACCACAGCCCCAAAACGCAGCGUUGAAAUGGACCAAGUCGAAAUAAAAAUAAAAUUGCAGGGGCUAAAUUAAAAAUAAGAGAAAAUAACGAAAAAUGAUCAAAUUGUAAUACGCUGCAAAAUCAGGGGGACUGCACGCGCAAAUAGCCCAAAAACUGAAAACACGCGGAUCCUCCGGGUCGGGUCGGGUCGGGUCAGGUCGACGUGCGGAUCCCCUUUGCUAAAACGGCGUCGUUUCAUGUUUAAUAUAAAUACUAAAAAAAGCUAAAAAAAACAGUUUCAUCUUUUUUUAAAAAAAACAGAGAGAAAACUCUCUCUUUUUCCCUCAGGUCCGGCCAUGGUCCGGCUUGGGAUUUCCGACGAGUCUCCGCCGCAAAGCCACCGUGUGUGGCGGCCGGAGGUUCAAAAUCAGACCUUUUUGGUCCUUUUUUAAAGUCCAUGGCCUCCAAGCCACAGAUCCGGGGCUGAAUCUCCUGAAUCGAAAGCCGAAGACCCAAAAAAUGGGGUGAAAUCCUUCGCCUUCCUCCCCCUUCCGGCGCUGCGCAGGUAAGGUUUUUUUUAACUCCUUUUUUACUAUCUUUAUUUAUAUAUAUACAUGAAGAGAAAAGAGAGCAAAAUAAAUAAAUAAAUAAAAACUUCAAAACUGAAGAGAAAAAGACCUUGAAUCUGCCUUAUUUAUUUUCUUUCGGUUGAAUCUGUUUUUGUUUGUUACAAAAGUUUCCAGGGAAGAGAAAAAAAAAGAGAGUUACAUGCUUGGCUUUUAUAGCCGAUAUUAAUUUCUAUUUUUUGUUUUCUUUUUCCUUUCUUUUCUUUGGCUGUUGCGUGUUUGCUUCCUUAUUGCAGGGUGAUUGACGGGAGUGGUUGGCGACAGAGUCGGUGGCCACUUGCACUGAUGAAGCAGCGGUGGCGGCGCUAGGGUAGGCUAGGGACGGCGGCAGUACUAGGGUUUCAGAAAACUGAAACCCUAGUUUGACAAAUUGGUUUCGGGCCUGUUGGGCUUUAAAUUAUGGGCUUUGUAAUUGGGUUUUGGGUUUAGGUGAUUUGGGUUUAGGUGGUAUGGGCCCGGGUCAAAUUUUGGGUAAUGGGAUUGGGGCAAAAUUGGGUUGUACAGUUAUAAUAUCCCAAACGAAAUCAAACUAUAAACAUUAAAUUUUUCGAGUCUUCUAGAUACUGUAAAAAAUUCAGCUCCAACGGACACCAAAUGAACCUAUGAUCGAAGAAAAUACGAAGACUAGUCUGGCUAAAUCAAUCUGCCAAACUUACUUUUUAUCUUAUCUUUAAUUUGCUGUGAAAUUCAAAACUACGUGUAAUACUCAAUUUAUGCUCGACCCAUUUUGUUAAAACAAAUAAAAAAGAAAAGAAAAACAAAAUAUUUAAAUUUAGCCCAAAUGUCCAUUUACACAGCCCAAUUACAAUUGCAAAUAAAAAAAACUAAAACUAAACCCGAUCCUAAGCAUCAGCCCAAAUUCGACCCAUGCCCAAAACGAAUUCAGAUGCAGAAACCCUAGCCCAGCCUUAAUGCAAGCAAAAGUCGAAAGCCCUAAUAGUUGGUGCGCCGCUCCUGUAACAGCCCGAUUUUGGGCCUAGUCGGAACAGUGGUUUUGGGACCACAAAUCCGACGAGAAAAAAAUGUAAUGGCCCGAAUUUUCAGAGGUGUCAGAACGGUGAUUCGAGAUCACUAAAUUCGACAAAUGGGUAGAAAAUAUUAUUAAUUUAGUAAGUAUAAGUUAAAUGUGAAGUUAGGAAAAUUUUUGAAAUGGUGAAUAGUACACUAGAAAUAAAUAUUAAAAUAAUUAGAAUCGAAAAUGAGGUAUCGAGACCUCGGGGAUUUUAAACCGAGCCAUAAAUAUUUUUAUAAAUAUUUAUGUAGUCUUAAAAAGUUAGUAUUAAAGUUUCGUUAAGAAAUUUUAAAGUUCCGAUAAUUAAUUGAACAAAAAGGACUAAAUUGUAACAAAUACAAAAUUAUGAGAAAUGAUUAAAUAGUUUAAAUGAUAAAAGGAAGAGGGCUUAAAAGGUAAAUAGACCCAAGGUCUAUUUGGGCUGCACGGCAAAGGCAUGAAAUCAGCAACAAAGUAAGGAGAAUUAAGGGCAAAAUUGGAAUAUUGCAAAAUUUACUUAAUAAAGUUAGGACCAAAGUGGAAUUAUCUAGAUUUCUCUUUAUUUUUCUGCAUUAUCAUCAGCAUAAACACCAUAGAAGGGUUUUCUUAAGCUGGUUCUUCCUAUUUUUACUGCAGGUAAGUUCAAUUCUUGAUUAUUUCUUGAAAAUUUUGUGUUUUUGUGACUUUUACAACUAGGCCCACUUAUUGUAUUCAUUAGUUUUUGAUUCUAUGAAAGAAGUUGAAAGUUGCUAUGAAUACAUGCUGGAAGUAUAUGAUGAUUUAGCAUGGAAUUAGAGCUUUAAAUUGUUCAUAUGCUGAUUUAUUGAAAGAAUUGAAUAGAAAGUGAAUGUUUGGGACCUAAUAGUAAAAGAGUUUGAAGAUAGAGUUAUAUGUGGAAAUUCUGAAUUUCAAUAGUUGUGAAACAACUUAUAAUGUCUAGGUUAAGUAUUAAUUGAGAAAAUUAAAUUAAUUGAGGGGUUAAUUGAGAAAGGACCGAAUUGUAUAAACUGUGAAAUUUGGGGCAAAAAGGAAAUCAACAUUUUACACUAAAGCAGUUUUGGACAGCAGCAGUAGUAUAACUUUGAAAAAUCACCAAAAAUUUUGAGAAUUGAAUUAGAGGGUGAAUAAAAUAUAAAAUUAAAGCUCCUUGAAUCUAGUUUCUCAUAGAAGAAACGGUGUAAGCAAUGGAAUUGUAAAUCAUGAGAUAUAAUAAAUUUUGUGAGACAAUGUCAUAAUGAUUUCGGGUUCCCCUAUUCUGACUUUGGAAAAUCAUCAAAAAAUUAAGAAAAAUAUGAGUUAUAAUUUAUAUGAUUACAAUCCUUAAUGAGUCUAUUUUCAAAGAAAAUAAACGGAAAUAUCAUCCAAAUUCUGUACAAUUAUAUAAUUCAUUUUUAGUGAAGAGUGGUCGAAACUGUCAGACAGCGAAAUAGGGGGAACUUUAAAGAAUAAACUGUACUAUUUGGCUGAACCAAAAAUUCUGAAAAUUUUAUGGUAAGAAGGUAUGUGAGUCUAGUUUUAAGGAAAAUUAACGGAUCUUAAUUUAGAGCUCUGUAGCUCUAGAUAAAAAUAAUUUAGUGACUCUGACUCAGAUAAAUAGCUUUGAAUGUACAUGUGAGUGAAUAGUGAAAUUAUAGCUAGUGUUGUUUAAGUGUGUUAUACACAUUAAGGAUAUGGAAUGGAGAGGAGGAGGAGGAGGAAAAAUUGGGAAAUAUAUGAAUGAUUUGUGUAUAAUUGGUCAUAUGCUUAAUUAUAAUUGAUAAACGAUGAAAUAGAAAUGAUGCAUAUAUUUGUGCAGUAUUGGUCAUGGUUUAAGCUCAUGUGGGAAAAUAAAGUUUAUAGUACGUGUGUAUUAUAUUUUUGGUAUAUGAUUUGGCAUUAAGUAAUGUCGUGAAUGGAUAUUGAAUUAACACAUGUUGGAAAGUUUGAUAUAUGAAUAAAUAUUGUGAUCAUGAAAGAGUGUUACAGCUCCUGCCUUCAGCACGCGUCGAGCCUCCGCGCCAAAUCCACGUGAGCCUCCGUACACUCCAACUAGCCUCCGUACCUGCAACAAACAAAAGUAGACAAAACAACAGCAAAGGAUAGGAAGAAAAGGCAGUAAAUAGUGAAGAUUUUUCUGUAAUUUUCUUUGGAUUUCAUUAUGUAUUUUCGGCUAUAAAAGAGCCAUUAGGAAUAUUUGUAAAGGGUUUUUUUUUUACCCUCACACACAAAGAGAAUAUACACGCAUACAAGAUCAAUAUAGAGAAAGAAAUAAAAAUAAAUAAAUACAAAGAAUAGAAAAUCAAGUUUCGAAGGUGAUUCUUUGAAAAAUCCUUUUCGUUUUUCUCAUUUUUCCUUUUUCCUGGAUCUUUUGUUCAUUUCAAGUAAAAAAAGUAUAGAAAGGAAACAAGUUUAGAGGAAGGAGGUUUACCUGGACGCCGGACCUCGCUCGCCUCGUCGAAAUCGAAGGCUGAGAGGGGAUAAAUCGGUUUUGCGGCAGAAGGAAAGGGGGGCUAGGGUUCUUGUUUUAACUUUUUUAAAAAAAAUAGAAAAGGUUGCUAAUUAGGUUUUAAUGGGGGAUUUAUGUGUGUUAAAAAAACGACGUCGUUUAGCGACCUUUGACCCGUGCGGUGACCCGACCCGAGGAAAGGAUCUGCGCGUUUUGGGUCUGAUGGGUUUAUUGCGCAACAAGCCCUUCCGCAUUUGUUUUUCGUUUCAAUUCGGUUUUUAUUUGUUUUUUAAUUGUUUUCUCAUAUUUAGUUCCAAUUUCAAUUGGGUCCAUGAUUAAACGACAUCGUUUUCAUUGAUUGGGUUUGAAGGCCUGGUUUUGUGCGUCUAAAUUGCAGCAAUGGUCCCCCUGAUGUGCAAUAGUUCUCGAUUUAGUCGUCUCCACACUUAUUUCAAAGUCGUCCUUGAGAUUUUGUUUUAUUUUUGAAAUUGUCCUUGUCUUCUUUUAAUUUAUAAUGAUAUUAUUAUUAUUGUUGUUGUUAUUAUUACUAUUAAUAUGGGUAUUGUUAUCAUGUUAGUUUAUAUCUAUUUAUUUACUUUUAUUUUAUUAUGUAUUAUUAUAUAAUGCUUUUAUCAUGUAUCAUUUUAUAUAUUUUCUAUGUUAAUCUAAUAUGAUAUAUAUAUAUAUAUGUAUUUUUGUGAUCUUAUUUUAUAAUACUUUUUUAACCCAUUUAUAUGCCUUUAUGUUUUAAAGAUUUAUAAUAUUUUGUGCAAAACUAUUAUAUAUAUAUAUAGAUAUACAAUUUAUAUUAGACCAUUUUUAUCGUACAUAUACGUAUAUAUAAUUUAUAUUUUGAAACUCUAUUUUAUUAUAUUUUAUGCCUCUAUAUACAUCAUUAUAUGUUUAUUAUUCUUUAUAUUAAACCUGCCAUUUCACUUAUAUAUUUUUAAAACCAAUGUGUAUUAUUCUUUCUUCUUUGUUAUUUUUUAUCUCUUAAAAUAGAUUGAUAAUUCAUUUAAUUUUUGAAUGUUGUAUGACCGAGAUUAUCGUUGCCAUUCUUGUCCAAAUUUAUCCAUUGCUUGUUCAUAUUAUUUGAUAAUUUAUCGCUCACUAGCAUGUAUCGUAAUUUACGAAUUAUCAUUUUGAAUUAUGUACUACCAUUCAAUCGCAUUACAUUUGUUUGGAAAACAUCGAAAUCGUUUUGCACAUAAACCUUCAAAAUGCUUGGUAUCCAAAAUUCUCGAGAGGAUUGUGCCCUAAUUUAUUGGGCUUCAAUUCCCCUUUUUGAUUUUAAAUAACCGAAUACCCCUUUUUCAAUUUGAACAUAGAAAUUCCAAAAUAAAAAAAAACUCAUUCUCGGGAAUUUGAUGCGUUGUGUCCUAACGUAUUGUAUAUGACAUAUUUUUCUCGAGACGAGGAUUUUUCUAACAAAUAAAAAUAAAGGCAAUAUUCGAUAUUUAGGAAUUUUGUGAAAUCGAACCCUAACUUACUGGGUUUUGAUUUUUUCAUUUGACCCAAGUAGGAUAUCCUUCACAAAUGCACAGAUUUUAAAAAAUCAAAAGAUAAACUUAAUUUCGAGGAUUUAAAAUGUUACACUCUGACUUACUGAGUGUGUCAAUUUAUUUCUUUGAAAUAAGUGAGUCUUAUCAUCCAAUUUAUUUUAUUCAAAUUUUCUUUUCCAAGGAUCGUAUUUUAAAAUUUUUUCAAAAUUUCGACAUUAAGACAUUAAGCAAUCAAUUCAGUACCAAUUUUGGGCGUCACGAGGGUGCUAACUCUUCCUCGUGCGUAAUCGACUCCCGAACCAGUUUUCUCAAAAUUCACAGACCUAAAAUUAUUUUCAAGGUGAUCCGAUCACACCACAAUAAAAGAUCAGUGGUGACUCCCAUUCCUAUUUUUAAAAGUCGAUUCCUGUUUUUCAUAUAUAAAAAAAUGGUUUCGACACUACGGUUUUGUUUGUUUCCCUUAGAACAACUUUCAAAAAGUUAAUUUUGAAAAAUGGAUUGAAUUUUCAAAAUAGAUGAUAUUUUUUUGUGUUAAAAUUUUAUUCGUUGUUUGAAAAAAAAAUUUAAAUCAUUUUCUUAGAAUUAUUUUUAGUGAAACAAAUAUAUCAUAAAUAUAUUUGUUAUAAAAUAUUAUAUUAAUAUUUUCUUUUAACAAUUAAAAUAUAUUUUGUGAUAAGGUAAUAUUUUAUAAUAAUUAAUAUCAUAUAUACUUAAUAAUAAAUCAUGUCUAAUUAAAAUUUAAUUUCAAUUAAAUAUAUUAAUAAAGCUACAUUUAAUCAUAUUUUAUAUAAUUAAAAUAUUAAUAUAAAUAUUUUUCAAUAAUAUAUUAAAGAAUAUUUAAAAUUUAAAUUUAUUAUUACUAAGAUUAAUUAUUAAAACAAAAAUGUAAUAUUAAAUAAUUUAUCCAAUGAUAAGUUAUAUUAAUAAUUUAUUAUAUUAUUAAAUAUAAAUAAUUAAAUAUGUAUGUUUAAUAAUAUUAUGUUAUAAUAUUUAUUACUAAUAUUUUAAUAUUUUUAAACAACCAUGUUUUAAAGAUGGUGGUGAUGGUGAUGGUGCAGGCCCCCUUGUUAAAAUUACAAUAUUUUUAAGUGGGAUGCAUGUAAUAUAUUGUUAGGGUUUUAGAGUAUGUGGUCUUUAAAAGGGUUAAAUUAUAUAUUUAUAUAAUAUGAUUAUUGUUUAUAAACAUAAUAUUGUAGAUAAGUUUAUAUGUAUGUCAAUAUGUAUCCUACUCUAAGGUUAAUAUGUAUUUUUUAGAUGUGGGUUUACCUAUAUAAUAGUAUGAAUCCAUCAUGUGGUCUCAUGAAAUAUACAAACACAUAUCGUGCGAACACAAAGUACGAACAAUAAAAAAUACAAAUCAAGACCCAAUUGAAUAAUUGAAUAACGGAUAGGUAAUAAUGAAUAUCAUAACAUUUACUAUCCCCUCUUUUCUAGUGAGUUAUUGUUUAUGAUAAAUUUGCAACAAAUGUUUUUAUCAUUAUUUUGUUGGUAAAUGAUAAUAAGAUUAAACAUUACUUUCUUAAGCUCCUUCAAUUCUUUGGACGUUAGCGAGUAAACUUGAGCUUCAGCAUUCCACAAACACCUUAAUUUGAAGACACAGUUCUCUCAUACUAAAAACGACAUGGACGUUUACCUUGUAAUUAGAGAUUUGGGCUCAUUGUUGGGUUAUUAAUGAUACGGGGAUGGAGAGCUUUAAACUGGGUAUGGUUGGCCCCAAAGAGGCUCGAAACGUGCUUGAGACUAGAGGUGAUCAAGGGCCGGGUUAGGCCCAGUCUAGAAAAAAAAUUAGGCCCAUUUUUUAGAUUUGAACUCGGCUCGGCUCAAAAUAUAAGCUUAAAAAUUUGUCUAAGUUCAGUCCGAAAGAAAAUUGUUAAGCCCAAGCUCGACCCAUAUUAAAUUUUACAACACCAAAAAAGUAUAUUUAAAUAAAAAUAAAAUAUAUAUAUUUAAUAUAUAAUUCGGGCCGAGCUGAACUCGGGCCAAAAAAGUUUUACUCGGGGCUGGUCCGUUUUCUAAACAGACUUCGUUUUUUUUGCCAAAAUCCAUAUUUUUACCCGAAUCUUCCUAUUUUUUGGGGUGUGCCGUCGGGCCGAACUGGGUAACCGAACCAAUGAUCACCUCUGUAAUCACUGAAUUUUGUCCGGGAAUAACUUUCGUUAAAAAAAUUUUAAAAUUAAAAAAAAAUUAACUUUUUUGCUUUUUGACCCCUAAACUUUUCUAAAAUUUCAUUUUAACCCCUAAACUUUCUCAAAAUUACAGUUCAACCCCUAAACUUUUCUAAAUUACAUUUUGACCCCUAAAAUUUCUUAAAAUUACAUUUGGACCCUUACACUUUCUCAAAAUUACGUUUCGGCCCCAAAAUUUUUGCUACAUUUACAAAUUGGUCCUUCUGUCAGAAAAUCCCCAAUAAUCCGGCGGAUUUCGUGCACCUGCCCCACUAUUUCCGGCAGCCGGCCUAGGGCAUGGCCUUCCCCACCUGCUACCUGCAAACAAGAAGCAAAAUCAACUAUAAAAAGGAGUUUAAACUCCAAAAAUCGGACCCCCACCCACGAAAAAAAUAAAAAAAAAAAACUUGAAAGAAAAAGAAAAAAGCUUUGAGAAAGAAAAAGAAAAGGAAAAGAAGAGAGGGGAGAAGGAGAGGCCGACCAUCGGCGAGCCACCGGAGGAGGCGACGGCAGCAGCGGCAUCGACGGCGGCGUAGAAGACCGAACGGAGAAGAAGAAGAAGAAGAAAAAAAAAGAAAGAAGAGAAAGAAAGAAGGAAGAAGAAGAAGAAAGAAACAAAAAAAAAAGAAAAUAUUUUGUAAUAGUCGGCCCGGCCCGACUCGACCUGCACGACCCGUGACCCGACCCGACAGCACCAGCAACCUAGCAGGCCACGGUAGCAGCCCGGCGGCCCAAAGAGUAGCCCAAAAAGAAAAAAAGAAGAAGAACAAAGCAAAAAAAAAAAGCAGGCCAUUUUCAGCAGGCCCAGUGCAGCCCAGCAGACCCAGCGAACCCAGCAGGCCAGGCCCACACGCAAGCAGCCCAACAGAAAAAAAGGGAAAGAAAAAGAAAAGAAAAAAGAAAAAAGAAAAAAGAAGAAGAAGGGGUUCAAUUUGUAUUAUCCGUUCGGCGAAGCUCGUGUUUUGAGGAUUUUUUUUCGGUAAUUUUAUUUUUUAAUUUUAAUUUAAUGCUCGUAUUUUUUUUAAAUAUUAUUAGUAUUUUAUGCAUUUUUAUAUUUUGGCAUUUAUAUUUUUAAUUUAAUUUACUUCAAUUUUUAUUUUAUUUUAUUUUAAAUAAUUUUAAUAAAUGAGGCAACGAAUCGAUUUAACAUAAAAUCGUUGAUUUCAUUGCUAUGUUGGGUGAAUAUCAUCGGUUUGUGUUAAACACGAUACACCCUUUUUAAAAAAAAGAAAAAAAUCGAAAAAAUUCUAAAAUUCUCAUUUUUUUAAAAUUCUCGUGUUUUAAUAGAAUCACGAUUAAAUAUUAAGUUGAAUCGAUUUGGCACUAAUUCGAUGAUUUCAUCUCCAUGUAGGGAUGAAUAUCAUUUAUUCGUGUUAAAUAUGGUACUUCUGAAAAAAAAUCGGGUUUCAAAAAUUUUCGUGUUUUCAAAAAUUCUCAUGUUUCAAAAAUCUUCGUGUUUUAAAAAUUCCAGUGUUUCAAAAAUUUUCGUGUUUUCAAAAAAAAAUUUCUCGUGUUUUUAAAAAUUCCCGUAUAUCGAAAUUUUCUUGUUUUCAAAAAAAAAAUUCCAUGUUUCAUAAAUUUCCGUGUUUUCAAAAAAAAAUUCUUGUUUUUCAAAAAUUUUCGUUUUUAAAAAAUUUGACCGUGUUUCAUAAAUUUUCGUAUUUCAAAAAAACCUCGUGUUUCAAAAUUUUCGGGUUUUUUUAAAAACAAUUCGUGUUUCUAAAAUUCUCGUAUUUUAAAAAAAAUCGUGUUUUCAAAAAAAGAAAAAGUUGUUGUGCUUUAAAAUUAUCGUGUUUCAAUCGGAUCACGAUUAAUAUUAAAUUGAACUCGUAUUUUUGAAAAUGAAAACAACGCGCGUUUAACGAGAUACCAAUUUUGGGCGUCGCGAGGGUGCUAAUACCUUCCUCGCGCGUAACCGACUCCCGAACCUUAAUUUUCUCUGAAUUUUUACGUGGACCUAAAAUUACCUCUUUUUAGAAAAGUUUAAAAAUGAAUUUUUCUUCUAAAAAGAGAAUUUUGUAGGUGUCCGAUCACACCUAAAAAAAGAUCGGUGGCGACUCCUUUUUUUCAAAUAAAAUCGAGAUUCAGUUUUCAAGUUUUUAAUAAUUACUUCGACAAGCGCCCGUGCGCAAAAUUUUUAAGUCGCUACAGCCUCUACUUGAGACAACAGGGUUUUGCAGGGAAUUCUUACAGGUUCGUUUCUGGCGACAAAAAAGAGCUCUUCACUAUAAGCAUACAAACAAGAGCCAAAACUAUGCCUCUUAGUGAUGAUAUUAGGCCUUAUGUUAUUCCUUUUCAACAUCAAACCGUCAACCGGUAUGGUAUGUUUUUUUUAUUUAAUCUGCAAUUUGUGAUAAUUCUUUGUUAUUUAUGUAUGGAAUUUAUUGGGAGGAAAUGCUGGAAAGAAUUCAUUUACGAGAAUUGGUCCAAGAUCAAGGGUGAACAUUACGGACCCUGAAAAAUAAGAGAAAUACUUAACAAAUUUAAUGACUUCCAGAAGAUACGUACCAAUCCACUGCUUAAUUUGCUUGUAAGCGGCCUUGUUAACCUCGAAGGAGACCGAUGGAGCAAGCAUAGAAAAAUCAUAACCCUUGCAUUUCAUCAAGAUAAGUUGAAGGUAUAGAAUAGUAAUGGGUACUCAAGACUUUAAAGAAAACAUCAUACUUAAGCCUAUGCUUUUCUGAUUUAGAAAUAAUUGGAUGCAGAAUAUGUUGCCAGCAUUUUAUCAAAGUUGUAGUGACAUGUUUAAGCAAAUGGGAGAAGAUGGUGUGUACAGAAGGAUACAUUGAGUUAGAUGUGUCGCCUUAUCUCGUAGAUUUGACAAGAGAUGUUAUUUCCCGAUCUGCUUUUGGAAGCAGCUUCGAAGAAGGCAAACGAAUUUUCCAAUUACUAGAGGACCAACUCGUUCUCACAAUCAAAUUAAUACAAACUGUUUACAUUCCAGGAUGGAGGUAACCGUCUACUUUAAUUUACUUGAAAAAGGUUGCAAAUGUUGGAAUUGGCUAAAUUCGUGUUUGUUUUCUUGAAGGUUUUUGCCCACAAAGACAAACAGGGAGGUGAAGAUGAAACACAAAGACAUAAAAGAGUCGCUCAGGGAAAUGAUAAAAAGAAGAAAGCAGGCAAUUAAAGCAGGGGAAGAGAGUAAUGAGGACUUGUUGGACAUACUUGUGGAAUCCAAUAUCAGAGAAAUGGAAGCAAAGAAUAUGGGGAUGAGCAUUGAGGAUGUGAUUGAGGAAUGCAAGCUGUUUUACUUAGCUGGCCAGGAGACCACUUCGGUCUUACUGGUGUGGACUAUGGUUUUAUUAGCAAGGUAUCCCGAUUGGCAAAGUAAAGCAAGAGAGGAGGUUUUGCAUGUUUUGGGUGACAGUAAACCUGAUGCUGAUGGCCUUAAUCGUCUCAAAGUUGUAAGUCCCUAGCAUGUCUCUUGAAGGCCCGAUCUCUGAGGUCGACAACUCAAAAACUUGGUUCUUUGUUUCGCUAAUUCUACAGUUAACAAUGAUAUUGUACGAGGUUCUAAGGCUGUACCCACCAGUGAUUGAGCUAGGACGUUCCGUUCCAAAAGAAAUAAAACUGGGAAAUUUGUUGUUACCAGCAGGAACAGACGUUUCGGUUCCAAUCCUGCAGAUCCACCAUGACAAAGAUCUUUGGGGCGACGCCGCACGGGAAUUUAAGCCACAGCGGUUCACGGAAGGGGUUUCCUAAGCAACAAAGAGUCAAGUCACGUUUCUGCCAUUCGGAUGGGGUCCUAGGAUCUGCAUUGGCCAAAACUUUGCCAUGAUGGAAGCUAAAAUGGCGAUGGCUAUGAUUCUCCAACGCUUCUGGUUUGAGCUUUCCCCUUCCUAUGCUUACUCUCCUUACAACAUGGCAACUCUUCGUCCACAGCAUGGUGCACAGAUAAUUUUACAUAAACUUGGCUGUAAUUGAAUUGUUAUGUAAGCAAAUCUUUGUGAAAAUAUAGUGUUUUAGUGUAUCGUCAACGUCUGUCUGUAAUGGUACAAUUCCGAUGCAUGAAUAGUAAAUUUUGAGAUGUUUGGUGAAGUCCGAAAUAAUAUGCAGAAAUUGAGUGUCUAUGGUGGACAUAGUUGAGGGACUAAUGUGGUAAUUAUCAAUCAAAUAAUUCGGUACAAAGACUUAUAUGGAAAUUAAAGCAGGGGGAGUUGAAAAUGACUACUCUGCUUUGGGCAUCAAUUUAGAAAGAUUUAAAGUACAAAUGUGUUAUUAGUUAAGGGAUUUGUUUUAAAGAGGGAAUGACAAUUAAACCUCAUGGUUGAUUUGUGGAAGGGAACCAAUGAUGGGAUGAUUACUCUUAGUGGUGAAAAAAAAACUAUUAAGGUGGUUAUUAUAGUUGUUAUCACCAGCCUAAAAUUUGAAUAGGUUCAGGUCGGAUUAUAUUGAGCUUGCAAGAUUAGUUCACGGACCAAACUUGCAUGAUAAUAGGUAUUCACAACAAGAUAUCUAUAGUUUCCAACAAAGUCACAUGUGAGAUCGUGCAUUAGAACCGCAUAAACAUGUUUUAUGUUUAGAAUAUGAUAUGUGUCUAUGUGUAUAGAAUCUACCUAAUAUAUCAUAUUAAUGAAUAGUAUCAAUUGCGGAGCCAAAAAAUUAUUUGUGAGGGGUCAGAAUUAAAUUGUAUAUUUUUACAAAAAUAAAAAUUAAAUUUCACUAUUUUAAUAGUUUAUUUAUUUUUAAUUUUUAAAUGAUUAAAUUAAAUUUUAUAAAUUUUUAGGAUCAAAGUAUAAUUUUAUCAUUACUAAUUUAAAAUUUUAUAAAUUAUAAAAAGUUUAUAUGAAAAGUUUUCUAUUUUAGGGUGGCCAAAGCCCCUGUCAACUUCUGACUCGAUCACUUGCGGUUAGUUGGGUAAAGACUCAAGAAAAAUAGCGGUGUGUUUGGAUGGACGGUGCGUUUACUUGCGGUUAGUGUAAAAAUAGCGGUGGCGGUGAGAUUAGAUACUAUAGCAACACUGUAGCGUGAGACAAAAAGUAAGUUAAACGCACUGCACUGCACUUAAUCGUCUAUCUAAACUCACCAUAAGUGUCUAAAAUAUGAUUUAAGUGAAGAUACGUGGGGUAGGUGUCAUGGAAAUGUAAAAAAAAAAAAGAAUCCUACUAAUGUAUGGGAUGUGUACAAUUGAAUGCAGGAGUGAAUCAUUUGGGUAACAUUUGGACAAGAAACAUAAUGAACAAAAUGAAAGGAGAGGAAGCUAGUAAUAAAAGAUUCUUUUGGGUUAUAUAAUUUGUUUGGCAUAUAUUUUUAUAAUAUUUAAAUAUCAUUUUGGAGUUGUUGAAUUAUAAUUUAUUUUUAUGUUUUAAAACAUAAUUAUUCUAUUUUUAGAGGUCAGAGUAGAGGUGAGCAUGAGUCGGGCUACUCGGCUCGGGCUGAAGGCUUGCGCAAAAUGUGAGAGAUUUGGGUAAAAAUAUAGGCCCGAAAAAUGAGUUUAGACAAAAAAAAAUAUAAGGCCCGUUGAAAAAACAGGCUAGGCCUUGGGUAAGGCAUUUUGGCCCCAGACCCGGCCCAACCCAAAUUCACUAAGGGCACGUUUGGUUCGCUGUAUUGGAAUAGAGGCGUAAUGUAAUAGAGGCGUAAUGGAAUAGAGACGUAAUAGCAAAUCAAUUGUUUGGUUGAAUGUAAUGGAAUAGAGGCGUAAUAGUAUUCUUAUAUUUGGUUGAAUGGAAUAGAGUUGUAAUAGCAUAAGGAAAAAAGUUAAAAUGACUAGAAUACCCUUAGCAGAAAUUUGUUUAGAUAAAUGAUUAUUGUUAUUGUUAUUAAAUUUUAAUAAGAUUAUUAAUAUCAGUAAUAAAUAAUUUAAUCAUAUUUUAACAUAAUUAUUAUUAAAUAUAAUUUAAUAAAAAUAUAUAAUUUAAUAAAAUUCUUAAUAUUAAAUAUUCUUAAUAUUAAAUUACUAAAAUCAUAAUAUAUAAUACUAUAAAAUAUAAUUUAACAUAAUUAUUAUUAAAUAUAAUUUAAUAAAAUUCUCAAUAUUAAAUAUAUUCUUAUAUGAAUUUACUAAAAUCAUAAUAUAUAAUACUAUAAAAUAUAAUUUAAAAUAAUUAUUAUUAAAUAUAAUUUAAUAAAAAUAUAUAAUUUAAUCUAAAGUUUGAAUGUGUAUUUACCUAGCAAAAAUCAAUGAACUCUCGUGUAACUAUAACCUUAAUAAUAUAUGAUGUAUAAUUAAUAUUUCGUGACUAAUUAAUAGCAUAGAGAUAAAUAUAGUAAUGACGAAUUUAUAGUAUACGAUUAAAAUGCUAAUAAUUUAUAGUAUACAAUUAAAAUAUUAUAAAUAAAAUAAUAGUAAAUGAUAUAUAAGAUAAAUUAACAUAUAAAUAAUUCAGAUAUGUAAAGGAUAUGGCUGAAUAUGGUUGCUCCAAUAAUAAAGGAUAUAUAAUAUAUCAUGGUGUUGUUUUGUUUAGAUAGUUCGGUAACUUAGGAGGGUAUGUAUGAAGAACACAAGUUGAUGCAGAUAGAAAGACGACAAUAUUACAUGAUUACAAUAUGAUAUAGUAUAUAUAUAUAAUUUAUGGAUUCCUUGCAAUCACGUGGGUUCUCUAGCCAUUUUAUUUAGCAUAUCCAGUGAUAUUAAGAUCCAGAAUUAUAAUACAACUAAAAUCUGUGCACACUUAUGGAUGAUCCAACAAAGCCUCAGUUGGCUUUAGGUUCCAAAUCUUGCAACCCACAAACCAUAUUUGCUGGCACUGCAACAUCAAUCAUCUUAGGAUAUGCCAAGUUAAGAUCUGUUGCACCAACAAAAACAGAGGAGAAAUUGGAAGGCGAUCCGAAAAAACCCAAGGAUGCUUUUUCUUUUCUUUUUUUUUUAUAAUCUUUAUAGACUGGUUAUAUUGAGCAUCAACUUACUUUCCAUGAUGUUUUUGAAAGUCUCUUACAAAAAGGGUAUUCAACAAAUAAUAUAAUCAGACAUAUUGAUAGGACAAAUUGAAACUAGUAUUCUAUGAUCAUAAUAAAGAGUAAUCUUUAAUCAAAUGCGUGAAGGUAUUGAGAUGUCAUGCUUUUUCAUGAUUUCCUGUUUUACCAUGGCGAUGUUCAUUGGAAUAGUCCCAUCCAAGAGAAUCAAACCAAUGCUCAGCAAGAAAUGUUCAAUGCAUAUGUAAUUUUAAUUACAGAAGUUAUAUGCAGCUUAUAUGAGUUCAAGAUCAUAAAAUACUUCAUGGACAAAAGGAAACCCUUUCUUAUCACUGAAAUGAAAAUAGGCACUCUUAAUUUUCUAUUGUCAAAAGUAGCAAGCCAUUUUCCAAAGAAAAGGGAAGAUGGAUGGUUCCAGAAAGAAUACCUCAUCCUUUGUCAAGUGUGGAUUAUAUAGCAUCUCCUCUCCCACAGUGGUUACCUAUAAUCAAUGAGGUUUAUAAAAUCGAGCAAUCAUUUAUAUAUGUAAGAAAUGAUAGGAAUAAAGUUUUAUAUCUUACUGAGAAUCCUUUGUAGUCAUGAGCUGGAUAUAGCAAUGUCUCUUUCGGUAAUGUAAAAAUCUGGAUCCAUGAAACAAAUAAGUCCAUAAAUUUUAUUCAAAUUUUGACAAUUACAAUAAAAUUUUGAGAACUCAAAGAAUGUGACCAUAAAAAGUCCCCUGUCCUUACCUGUGAAUGCACUGACUUGUAGAGUUGCUGUGAACUUCCACCCUGCAAAAUGCAUUAAUCAGUGCUAGUCAAUGGCUACUGAAUGUGGGAGCAUUAGAGAAAAUUAUCUUAAAAACUUAAGUAUAACAAAAUUAGACAAUGACAUCCAGAUGGAAAGAAAUUGCCAGCAUAUAAGACCAGCAUUUAUGUACUCACGACUGAAAAUCCUUUGCAAAAAGUAUAGCCCUGAUAGUUCAAACUUUUACUUCAAGGAUGAUUUAAUUACUGAUUAGUUUGCCAUGAGGCUUGUGAAUGACAAACACUUUAUGUGCAACCACAGUAACAAGGUAAGCACCAAUAAGUAGAAGACUAGACGAAUAGGUAACCAAGAGUUAGAGCUAAAACAGACAAACAGAGCUACUAUCCAAUGAGCUAAAACAUACAAACAGAGGUAUAUUUUAAUAAUGAAAAUAAUCGAUUGCCUUAAACACCAUAUAGUGUUCCAAUCAAUCAAAUUAUAGCAGGCAUUAAAACCUUUCCCUUUCGUUAAUUCACAACUAUUAGCUUCAUUAAUCAAAUCCUAUGUACAGUUGAUCGAUUGAAAGUGUAACAUUUCAAAGACGAAAUUUAAACGCAAAACUGGUUAACAUUGAAAUUACAUGUAAAUAUAACCUAAAAAAUCAAAAAAUUAAUCAUAUUUUCAGAUUUCAGGCCGAAAUGGAAUGAAAUGAAAGGUAAAUCCAUUUUUUCCCCAAAAAAACAAAAAUAAAGAAAUAAUAUUUCAAGAACAGAUCAUUAAAUUCAUGGUAUAUAUAAAGAAAUUUAAUUGAAAUCAAAGGAAUAGAAGAAGGGAAAAGCGUACUUGGAACCAUUGCUGCUACUCUCUGUUACUCUGUUACCUCAUACGAUUCGUUAAAGGGUUGUUAGGGUUUGUUAAAAGGUUGGUCAGGAUAGAAGCAUGAAAAGGAGGGAGAAGGUUGGAAGGAAAUGGGAAGAAAAAUGAAAAAAAGAAGAAGAUGCUGCAACGGCUUGGAGGGUAAAAGAGGACCGAUUAGGUAAUCCUUUCUUUUGGAAGGGAUUACAAAUCGGCGCUGCAUAAGGGAAAAUGGGGAAUCAGUGCGCUGCGUAAUAGGCCCGUAUUAAGGCAAUACAGCCAACCAAACAUGGUAAUCAGUGGGGCCACGAAUUAGGGGUGUAUUGGCUAAUCCAAUACACCCAACCAAACAUGCUCUAAAGGACAAAAAAAUUUGAUUUUUUAAAUAUUAUUUUCUCUCUAUUUUGCUAUCAUUUUACUAUUAUGUUGCUACUAUGUUAUUGUUAUUUUUGAAUAUUGUAUAAAACUUAUUUUAUUGUUAAUUUUGUUAUUAUUUUAAAGACAUUUGUUAAUUUUGUUAUUAUUUUAGAGACAUUUGUUUGUUAAGUUGCAUCUAUCUUAGUGUUAUUUAAGUAUACAUAUUUUUUAAAAUUUAUUUUCAAUUUAUUGGGAAAUAUUUAUUUUGAUGUUUUUAGUAUUUUGGAUGUAUUAUAUAUAUUAAAAUUAUAUAAAAAUUAAUAUGGCCGAGCCAGGUCAGGCCCAGAUUUUAGCAUUUUUAUUCAGGUCGGGCUUGAGCAAAAUUUUAAGCCCAUUUUUUGGGCCAAACCAGGCCUGGGCUUAGCAAAUGGGCCUAAAUUUUUAGUCAAGCUCGACCUAAACCCGAUCCGGCCCAUGCUCACCUCUAGAUCAGAGCUGCCCUCGCUUUGCAUUUCUUUGAGAUUCAGUCUUAUCUACUGUUGAUUGCCCACUCAAUGGAGGGUUGAGUAGAAAGAUUUGGUGAAGCAAGCUAAGCUAUCAAUCAAGGUUGGAGAAAGCUUAGGAGGUCACAAUGCAUAAUUAUUUAAAUGUAAUUCUAAUAUUUAAAUAAAAUUUAUUAAUAUAGUAUUAACAAGCCCUAAAUGUAAUGAUUAUAUACUAUUACAUUUUUAAGAAGAGAAAACAUGUUUGAACCUUAAAAACAUCAUUAUUAAAAAUGAUAAUUACAAAUUUUAAAAUAUAAAAAAUAUAAUUAAAAAUUAAUUUUAAACCCGAGCUGGAUAAAAUUCUAAUUUUAGAUAACGAUACUAAUAAGAAAUCAAUAUUAAAAUGAAAAUGAAAAGUAAUUUAAUAUAAUUUUUGAGUCUUGGGCAAAGGCACUCAAUGAAUGCUUGGAAAGAAAUAAUGCAACUUGGUGAUAGCUUUUGUUGGAGUAAUAUGCUCUUAUUAUAGUUUUAUGUUUUUAUCUUGCAAAAACAACAUAUUGGAGUUUUCGGCAUGAUUUUUUCUUAAUACUUUACAUGAAAAAUAAUAAUGGGACUUAAAUUGCUACAAUAUUACAACACAAAGUUACAAUAAGAGCUUAUAACUCAACAAAGGCUAUCAAUAAAUAAUCUCAGGCAAGCUAAAGAGAAAUGUUGAGAAUACCACCCGAAUAGUGACUGACUUUAAAAGUUGAAAACCCGAAGCUAUAUUAUCUCAAACGAAAUCAAACCAUAAACAUUAAAAUUUUCAAGUCUACUAGUUACUGUAAAAAAUUCAGCUCCAACAGACACCAAAUGAGCCUUUGAUCGAAGAAAGUACGAAAAAUAGUCUAGGUAAACCAAGCUUCCAAACUUACUUAUCUUAUCUUUAAUUUGCAGUGAAAUUCAAAAUUAAGAUUUUGUUUAUUUCACUUGGAACAACUUUCAAAAAAUUAUUUUUGAAAAAUGAAUUGGUUUUUCGAAAUAGAUGAUAUUUUAUUGUGUCAAAAUUUUAUUCAUUGUAGGAAAACUUUUUUUAAAUCAUUUUCUUAGAGUUAUUUUUAGUUAAAUAAACAUAACAUAAAUAUAUUUGUUACAAAAAAUUAUACUAGUAUUUUCUUUUGACAAUUAAAAUUUAUUUUAUGGUAAGACAAUAUUUUAUAAUAAUUAAUAUCAUAUAUAUACGUAAUAAAAAUCAUGUUUAAUUAAAAUUUAAUUAAAAUUAGAUGUAUUAAUAAAGCUACUCCUCCACAACCCGCAUCCGCAACAGCACCAGCACCAGCACCAGCACCAGCAUCAGCACCAUGGGACAACUAUUGGGUUUCCUCCACCUGCCUCUAUCGCUCCUCCUCAGUAUUACCCCCAAGCCUACCAGACCGUGCCGGGUAUUCUACAAAUAUGAAAAAACCUUCUUCUCUUUUUAUUAGCUUAUCGAAAUGAAGGAUUUUGAGAUUUGGGCUUUUGUUAGAUGGAUGGUUAAUGAUAUUUUUUAGAUGAAAGAUACAAGUUUUUUAAUGUUUUAGAAGAAAAGGUGUUUAAAUAUUAGGAGUUUUUUAGCAGAGAAAGAAGAUAAAUAAAUGCAUAGAGAUACAUUAGCAAUAUUAUUUGGAUUUGGUUGUCUAAUGUAAUGAAGAAUUUUUUAAGGGUGACCUGAGUAGGUGUGGCAAGAUUCAAAGUUUUUUCUAUUAUAGCAGAUAUAUAUAUAUUAAUGGUUUAAGAAGACUAGAAGUCGGUUUCAAAGGAAGAUGAGAAAUAAAAGCAUUUAUAUAUAUGAUAUGUCAUUAAUUCAUAAACCAAAUAUAUAAAGUAUGUAAAAGUGUCAGGGGUUAAUCAUGGUGUUUUGACAAUCCGGUAACCUUCAACUUGAAGAAAACCUUAGGUUUCAAAAAUUUAUGUGAAGAGUUAGAAUGGUAUGCUUCAUGGAUCUGAAUAACUAGAACAGUGUAAGAGUGGUAUAUUGUGUCAAGUUUGGUUUCUUGUAUAUAAUUGUAUCGAAAACAAUGUUACAUGAGUUAAAAUGAAUGUUCAUCCAAUUUAACAAAGCCUGCAUUAUGUUGAUCAAAAUUUUUAAUUCAUGUUGAGGUUUCUUCCGUGAUAUCUUUGAUGUCAAGGUUAUGAUGUUGCUGAAGGGACACCUGUAAGAGAUAAGCCACCGUGCUGUGGCAUUGGAUUCGGAUGGUUCUUGUAAGUGUACAUAGUUUUCUUUGUUUUUAAAGAGUUCUUUACAUAUGAAGUAAAACAAGUAGCGACUUGAUGGAUAUGUCAUUAAGCUUUAACUUAAGCAAAUCAUUUUCCUUCAUCUCUAAUUGCCAUUUCUUUAAAAGAAAAAGAGGAAGUUUUGUAGUUUACAGUUUGGACAAAUGGAAGUUAAUAUAAUGCACUAUUUGGAUGGACUAUGGAGAUAUCCAAUCAUAUUGGAUGAGUUAUAAGAAACCUGUGAGUUCAUAUUGGGUUUACUUUAUAUCAUAAUUAGAUUGUUGAGCUGGCUGUCAUACUUAGAUGGUAUUUCACGUUGCUACUUGUUAAACUAUACCACUUUCACAUUCAUACGUGAAAUGGCUGGGAUUUAGUGCCAUUCUACUUAGCAGCCUCGUGUAAUACACAGGUGAAAUGUUUAUGUCUUCAUGUCACCUUAAAGUUCCCAUUUCCAUGACGGUAUUGUUAAGUAAAGACUGGUACAUACCCCAAAAUACGGAAAUUGUUUUGGAUGUAUACUAUACUUUACCAUGCAUGAUUUUUUACAAGUUUGCAUGGUAUUUUAUCAUUAUAUUGGUCUUUAUUUUCUAUACUCGCAGCUUCCAUUAAUAUAUUUUUAUGAAUUUUAUCAUUAUGCUGGUUUGAAGGUUCAUCAUUGGUUUCUUCAUUGGGGGCCAUCCCUGGUAUAUUGGAUUCUUUGUUUUACUUUGUGCAAGGAUAGACGACAGAGAGAAAGCAGGAUAUAUUGCAUGCACAAUUGCCGUGAGUAUCUUUUCUAUCAUUAUUUUUUUCUUUUCCAAUUUUAUGAAAGCCAUCCUUCCUGCCUUGUAUUGAUCAUCAAUUUAACCAUUAUAUAUAUGUAUCUUAUGUAUUUGUACCAUGCUUUAUCUUCAAUGCAAAUAUAAGUUAAACUACAAAGAUUGGAUUGUUAAAAAAAGUUUAAAAUGUUAAAAAAAUUGAAAAUUUUGAUUUUGUAAGAAUGAUAGAAAACCAAGGCCAGUGCUUGCAUAUGUUAUCUACUACAUGCACAAUCGGGUCGAUGUCUGUAUAUGUUUCAUGUUUAGAAAUCGUGUUCAAUUGGGUUACGAUAUGUACAAUUGAAGUGUCAAUUUAUAAUUUCCUUAUCAAGAUUACACAUUUUUUUGUUAAUAUUCGGAAUCACUCAAUGGUUAUAAACCCUGAUUGGAUACUGUCCACAAAGUCUAGUUGGAACAUCCCUUGUAUUCUUUGUCCUUUCUAAGAACUUUCCUUUCCAUCAUUCUCGCUUCUGUUUUUUUUUUCUUCCCUCUACUUUAAGUCAUUAUCUAACGUAGAUAUCCCUUGUAUUCUUUGUCCUUUCUAUGGCAAUCGAGUCAAUUGAUGGCAAGCCAAAAAAACAAAAAGAGCAGCUAUCCUGUCUUACUCGAUUGCCAUCCCUCCUGUUAAACACCAUUAAGAAAAGGAAAAUUUUAGUUAAGCUUUAAAACAGCCAUGUUUUAACGAUGUUGGUGAUGGUGCUUGUGCAGGCCCUUCUUGCUACAAUUACAAUUAUUCUUAGUGCAACAAUUAAAGCUGGUGGGUGAUAAAGCACACCUCUUUUGACUGAGAGAUGUAUAGGUUCCCAAAUAAUAUGUAUAUGCUCCCCCCCCUCCCUUUAUUUUAUUUUAUUUCCAGUAAGUUAUUGUUUAUGAUAAUUUGCAACAAAUGUUUUUGUCAUUAUUUUGUUGGUGAAUGAUAAUAAGAUUAAGCUUUACUUUCUUAAGCUCCAAUUCCUUGGACGUUGGUGAUUUUUUUAUUAUAGUUGAGUCAUUGUAUGGUAUUAAUAUAAUUUAUGUCGCUUAAAAUUUAUAACUAAAAAUAUAAAAUUUAAAUUUUACUUCAAUUUAUUUGUAUUUAUAAAUGGUUAAUUCAAACUUAUUUUUUUCCUCAUUAUAUUUUAUAUUUAAAUUAACAUUUAAACUAUUUUUCAUUAGCAAUGUUGUUAAGAAUUAUAUUUUUUAGCACCAACAUCAAACUUACUAAAAUUAAAUUUUUAACUAUUUAAAAAAAAUAUUUUUAGCUAUUUAUCAUCAUAGAGAAAAAAAGGUGACGUCACCACGCCUCAUGCUUCGACACCACAAACUAGACUCUCAUCACCCGUAUUUAUCAUCGAUUCAAAUUCCAGAACUACCUAAAAAUAUAUCUUCAAACUUCCUCUGGUUAAGUUCAUUGAUAGUCAACUUACUAUCAUUUCUAAAAAAAAAACAAAUAAAUUGGUUAAUAGUAAUCUCAAUGAUUCAAUUUUAUUCUUACCAGUAUCUGUCCUUUAGAAAGGGGCUUAUAAAAGGGGUAGAGGUGAGUAAACUUGAGCUUCAGCUUUCCACAAACACCUUAAUUUGAAGACACAGUUCUCUCAUACUAAAAAAGACAUGGAAGUUUACCUUGUAAUUAGAGAUUUGGUUUCAUUGCUUGUUGUUGGGUUAUUAAUGAUAUGGGGAUGCAGAACUUUAAACUGGGUAUGGCUGGCCCCAAAAAGGCUCGAAAGCUGCUUGAGACAACAGGGUUUUGCAGGGAAUCCUUACAGGUUCCUUUCUGGUGACAUAAAAGAGCUCUCAACUAUGAGCAGACAAACAAGAGCCAAACCUAUGCCUCUUAGUGAUGAUAUUGGGCCUUAUGUUGUUCCUUUUCAACAUCAAACUGCUAACCAGUAUGGUAUGUUUUUUUUGUUUAAUCUGCAAUUUAUGAUAAUUCUUUGUUAUUUAUGUAUGGAAUUUAUUGGGAGGAAAUGCAGGAAAGAAUUCAUUUACGUGGUUUGGUCCAAGACCAAGGGUGAACAUUACGGACCCUGAAAAAAUAAGAGAAAUACUUAACAAAUUUAAUGACUUCCAGAAGAUACAUACCAAUCCACUGCUUAAUUUGCUUGUAAGCGGCCUUGCUAACCUCGACGGAGACCGAUGGAGCAAGCGUAGAAAAAUCAUAAACCCUGCAUUUCAUCAAGAUAAGUUGAAGGUAUAGAAUAGUGAUGGGUAAUCAGACUUUACAGAAAACAUCAUACUUAAACCUAUGCUUUUCUGAUUUAGAAAUAAUUGGAUGCAGAAUAUGUUGCCAGCAUUUUAUCAAAGUUGUAGUGACAUGUUAAGCAAAUGGGAGAAGAUGGUGUGUACAAAAGGAUACAGUGAGUUAGAUGUGUGGCCUUAUCUCGUAGAUUUGACAAGAGAUGUGAUUUCCCGAUCUGCUUUUGGAAGCAGCUUCGAAGAAGGCAAACGAAUUUUCCAAUUACUAGAGGACCAACUCGUUCACAUAAUCAAAUUAAUACAAACUGUUUACAUUCCAGGAUGGAGGUAACCGUCAACUUAAUUUACUUGAAAAAGGUUGCAAAUGUUGGAAUUCGCUAAAUUCGUGUUUGUUUUCUUGAAGGUUUUUGCCAACGAAGACAAACAGGGAGAUGAAGAUGAAACACAGGGACAUAAAAGAGUUGCUUAUGGAAAUGAUAAAGAGAAGGGAGAAGGCAAUUAAAGCAGGGGAAGAGAGCAAUGAGGACUUGUUGGACAUACUUGUGGAAUCCAAUAUCAGAGAAAUGGAAGCAAAGAAUAUUGGGAUGAGCAUUGAGGAUGUGAUUGAGGAAUGCAAGCUGUUUUACUUAGCUGGCCAAGAGACCACUUCGGUCUUACUGGUGUGGACUAUGGUUUUAUUAGCAAGGUAUCCCGAUUGGCAAAGUAAAGCAAGAGAGGAGGUUUUGCAUGUUUUGGGUGACAGUAAACCUGACGCUGAUGGCCUUAAUCGUCUCAAAGUUGUAAGUCCCUAGCAUGUCUUUUGAAGGUCCGAUCAAUGAGGUCGACAACUCAAAAACUUUGUUUCUUUUUUCGCUAAUUCUACAGGUAACAAUGAUAUUGUACGAGGUUCUAAGGCUGUACCCACCGGUGGUUGAGCUAGAACGUUCCGUUCCAAAAGAAAUAAAACUGGGGAAUUUGUUGUUACCAGUAGGAACAGAAGUUUCGGUUCCGAUCCUGCUGAUCCACCAUGACAAAGAUCUUUGGGGCGAUGACGCACGGGAAUUUAAGCCAGAGCGGUUCGCGGAAGGGGUUUCCAAAGCAACAAAGAGUCAAGUCACGUUUCUGCCAUUCGGAUGGGGUCCUAGGAUCUGUAUUGGCCAAAAUUUUGCUAUGAUGGAAGCCAAAAUGGCGAUGGCUAUGAUUCUCCAACGCUUCUGGUUCGAGCUUUCCCCUUCCUAUGCUCACUCUCCUUACGGCAGGGCAACUCUUCGUCCACAGCAUGGUGCACAGAUAAUUUUACAUAAACUUGGCUGUAAUUGAAUUGUUAUGUAAACAAAUCUUUGUGAAAACAUAGCGUUUUAGUUUAUCGUCAAAGUCCGGUGUCUGUAAUGGUACAAAUUCGAUGCAUGAAUAGUAAAGUUUGAGAUGUUUGGUGAAGUCCGAAAUAAUAUGCAGAAAUUGAGUGUGGUAAUUAUCAAUCAAAUAAUUCGGUACAAAGACUUACAUGGAAAUUAAAGCAGGGGGAGUUGAAAAUGACUACUCUGCUUUGGGCAUCAAUUUAGAAAGAUUUAAAGUACAAAUGUGUUAUUAGUUAAGGGAUUUGUUUUAAAGAGGGAAUGACAAUUAAACCUCAUGGUUGAUUUGUGGAAGGGAACCGAUGAUGGGAUGAUUAUUCUUAGUGGUAAAAAAAACUAUUGUGGAGGUUAUUAUACUUGUUAUCAUCGGCUUAAAAUUCGAAUGGGUUCAAGUCGGAUUAUAUCGAGCUUGUAAGAUGAGUUCACGGAUCAAAUUUGCAUAAUAAAAAUACUUAAAUGAAAAAAAUUUCUAUUUUAGAGGGACCAGAGCCCCUACCAAUUCCCGGCUCAGCUACUAAACAAUACCCAUAUCAUAUAAAUAAAUACCACCAUAAAAAAAACUCAAAGAAAAACACUGACAAAUGAUAAAUAGAUAGAUGUUGGAUAAGUGUCCAAAAUAUGAUUUAAGUGAAGAUACAUGGGGUAGGUGUCACGGAAAUGUGAAUACAAGAAUACUACUAAUGGGAUGUGUACAGUUGAAUGUAGGGAGCAAAAAGAGGAGUGAAUCAUUUUGGUAACAUUGGGACAAGAAACAUAAUGAACAAAAUGGAAGGAGAGGAAGCUAGUAAAAGAAAUUUUUUGGGUCAUAUAAUUUGUUUGGCAUAUAUUUUUAUAAUUUUUAAAUAUCAUUUUGGACUUGAAUUAUAAUUUUUUUAUAUAUUAUCUUAAAAUUGUAUAAAUUUUAAGGAGUUAAAACAAAAUUAUUCUAUUUUUAGAUGGUUAAAGUAGAGAUGAUAAUGGGUUGAGCUAUUCGGCCCAGCCUGACGAUCCACCCGAAAAAUAGGAAGGUUUGGGUAAAAAUAUAGGCUUGAAAUAUGAAUUUGAGCAAAAAAAGAGGCCCGUUUAGAAAAUGGGCCGAGCCUCGGGUAAAACCUUUUGGGUCUAGACCUGACCUAAAUUAUAUAUUAAAUAUAUAUAUUUUUAUUUUUAAUCAAAUAUACUUUUGUUUUAUUAUUAAUUUGGUUAUUAUUUUAGUUCUAAUUUGUUUCAAUUUUAAUAUAACUACUUUUUAUUAUAUUUUCAAUUUGUGCAUUGUUUUAAGAAUUAUUUUAGUCUCAUUAUUUAUUUAUUUUUUAUUUUAAUAUUUGUUUUAAAAUUUUUUAUUUAUUGAAAUAAGCUAAAAAAAUUAAUAUGGGUUGGACCAGACCGGGCUCGGGCCUAGUAAUUUUCUUUUGGGCCGGACUUAAACAAAUUUUUAAGCCCAUAUUUUGAAUUGGGUCCUACACUAGAAAAUGGACCUAAAAUUUUGUAUUACCUUUAGGUCAGAGCUAUCCUCGUUUUGCAUUUCUUUGAGAUUCAGCCUUAUUUACUUUUGAUUGCCCACUCAAUAGAGGGUUGAGUAGAAAUAUUUGGUGAAGCAAGCUAAGCUAUCAAUCAAGGUGUGCAUAAUUAUUUAAAUGUAAUUCUAAUAUUAAAAUAAAAUUUUUAUUAAUAUAGUAUCAACAAGCAUUAAAUGUAAUCAUCAUAUACUAUUAAAUUUUCAAUAAGAGAAAACAAGCUUGAACUUUAAAAACGAUGUUACUAAAAACAUUAUCACAAAUCUUGAAAUAUAAAAAAUACUUUUUAAUAUAAUAAAAAAAUAAUUUUAAAACCGAGAUGAAUAAAAUUCUAAUUUUAAUUAAUGAUACCAACAACAAAUCAAUAUUUAAAUUAAAAUUUAUCUUAAUUUAAUAUAAUAAAAUUGGACUUGAAUAUUGAAUUUUUGAGUCUUGGGCAAAGUAGAGGUGCUCAUGGGCCGGGUUGGGUCGGGUUUGGGAAAAAUUUCGGCCCGCAUCCUAGGCUCGGGCUCGGCCCGACCCAAAUAUGGGCCUAAAAUUUUGUCUAGGCCUAGCCCGGCCCGGCCCAACUCAUUUUUUUUAAUAAACACCAAAAAUUUAUUUUGAAAAUAAAAAAAUAAAAAAAGUAUUUUAAAAAUAUUUUAAAAUUUUUAAAAAAUAUAUAUAUUUAUUAUAUAUUCGGGCCGGGCCAGGCCCGAGCCAAAAAAGUGGCGCCCAAGGCCCGGCCUGUUUUCUAAACGGGACUCAUUUUUUACCCAAACCCAUAUUUCGGGCCUAUAUUUCUACCCGAAUCUCUCAUAUUUAGGGCGAACCGUCGGGCCGGACCGGGCCGCCCGGCCAUGAACACCUCUAGGACAAAGUCACUCAAUGAAUGCAUGGAAAGAAAUAAUGCAACUUGGUGAUAGCUUUUGUUGGAGUUAUAUGCUUUUUUUUUACGUAGUGGAACUUUCGGUGGAUUUUCAAGUUUCAUGAACUUUAUACUCUAUGCUUUACGUGAAAAAAAAAAUUCAUUGGACUUAAAAGUCUACCAAAAGUUUCACUAAAAAAAAAACCAUUGCUACAAGAUUACAACAUAAAGUUACAAUAAGAGCUUAUAACUCAACAAAGGCUAUCAAUAAAUAAUCUCAAACAAAUUAAAGAGAAAUGUUGAGAGUACCACUCGAAUAGUGAUUAACUUUAAAAAUUGAAAACCCAAAGUUAUAAUAUCCCAAACGAAAUCAAACCAUAAACAUUAAAUUUUUCGAGUCUACUAGAUACUGCAAAAAAUUCAGCUCCAACAGACACCAAAUGAACCUAUGAUCGAAGAAAAUACGAAAACUAGUCUAGCUAAAUCAAGCUGCCAAACUUACUUUUUAUCUUAUCUUUAAUUUGCUGUGAAAUUCAAAACUAAGGUUUUGUACUUAGAACAACUUUCAAAAAGUUAAUUUUGAAAAAUGGAUUGAAUUUUCAAAAUAGAUGAUAUUUUAUUGUGUUAAAAUUUUAUUCGUUGUUUGAAAAAAAAUUUAAAUCAUUUUCUUAGAAUUAUUUUUAGUGAAACAAACAUAUCAUAAAUAUAUUUGUUAUAAAAUAUUUAUAUUAAUAUUUUCUUUUAACAAUUAAAAUAUAUUUUGUGAUAAGGUAUAUUUUAUAAUAAUUAAUAUCAUAUAUACUUAAUAAUAAAUCAUGUCUAAUUAAAAUUUAAUUUCAAUUAAAUAUAUUAAUAAAGCUACAUAUAAUCAUAUUUUAUAUAAUAAAAAUAUUAAUAUAAAUAUUUUUUUAAUAAUAUAUUAAAGAAUAUUUAAAAUUUAAAUUUAUUAUUACUAAGAUUAAUUAUUAAAAUAAAAAUGUAAUGUUAAAUAAUUUAUCCAAUGAUAAGUUAUAUUAAUAAUUUAUUAUAUUAUUAAAUAUAAAUAAUUAAAUAUGUAUGUUUAAUAAUAUUAUGUUAUAAUAUUUAUUAUUAAUAUUUUAAUAUUUUUAAACAACCAUGUUUUAAAGAUGGUGGUGAUGGUGAUGGUGCAGGCCCCCUUGUUACAAUUACAAUAUUUUUAAGUGGGAUGCAUGUAAUAUAUUGUUAGGGUUUUAGAGUGUGUGGUCUUUAAAAGGGUUAAAUUAUAUAUUUAUAUAAUAUGAUUAUUGUUUAUAAAUAUAAUAUUGUAGAUAAACUUUUAUGCAUGUCAAUAUGUAUCCUACUCUGGGGUUAAUAUGUAUUUUUAGAUAUGGAUUCACCUAUAUAAUAGUAUGAAUCCAUCAUGCGGUCUCAUGAAAUAUACAAACACAUAUCGUGCGAACACAAAGUACGAACAAUAAAAAGUACAAAUCAAGACCAAUUGAGUAAUUGAAUAGCAGAUAGGUAAUAAUGACUAUCCCCUCUUGUUUGAAUUUAUUUUAUUUCCAGUGAGUUAUCGUUUAUGAUAAAUUUACAACAAAUGUUUUUAUCAUUAUUUUGUUGGUAAAUGAUAAUAAGAUUAAACUUUACUUUCUUAAGCUCCUUCAAUUCUUUGGACGUUAGCAAGUAAACUUGAGCUUCAGCAUUCCACAAACACCUUAAUUUGAAGACACAGUUCUCCCAUACUAAAAACAACAUGGACGUUUACCUUGUAAUUAGAGAUUUGGGCUCAUUGUUAGGUUAUUAAUGAUACGGGGAUGGAGAGCUUUAAACUGGGUAUGGCUGGCCCCAAAGAGGCUCGAAACGUGCUUGAGACUAGAGGUCCAGGCAAAUUUUUAGGCCCAUUUUUUAGGCCUGGACUGGGCCCGACUCGAAAUAUGAGCUUAAAAAUUUGUCUAAGUUCGGUCCAAAAGAAAAUUGUUAAGCCUAAGCCCGGCCCAUAUUAAAUUUUACAACACCAAAAAACUAUAUAUUUAAUAUAUAUAUUUGAUUAAAAAGUAUAUUUAAUUAAAAAUAAAAAUAUAUAUUUAAUAUAUAAUUCGGGCCGGGCCGAACUCGGGCCAAAAAAGUUUUACUCGGGGCUGGUCCGUUUUCUAAACAGACCUCGUUUUUUUGUCAAAAUCCAUAUUUUAGGCUUAUAUUUUUACCCGAAACUUCCUAUUUUUCGGGUGAACCGUCAGGCCGGACUAGGUAGCCCAACCAAUGAUCACCUCUACUUGAGACAACAGGGUUUUGCAGGGAAUUCUUACAGGUUCGUUUCUGGCGACAUAAAAGAGCUCUUCACUAUAAGCAUACAAACAAGAGCCAAACCUAUGCCUCUUAGUGAUGAUAUUGGGCCUUAUGUUGUUCCUUUUCAACAUCAAACCGUCAAUCAGUAUGGUAUGUUUUUUAAUUUAAUCUGCAAUUUAUGAUAAUUCUUUGCUAUUUAUGUAUGGAAUUUAUUGGGAGGAAAUGCUGGGAAGAAUUCAUUUACGUGGAUUGGUCCAAGAUCAAGGGUGAACAUUACGGACCCGGAAAAAUAAGAGAAAUACUUAACAAAUUUAAUGACUUCCAGAAGGUACGUACCAAUCCACUGCUUAAUUUGCUUGUAAGCGGCCUUGUUAACCUCGAAGGAGACCGAUGGAGCAAGCAUAGAAAAAUCAUAACCCUUCAUUUCAUCAAGAUAAGUUGAAGGUAUAGAAUAGUGAUGGGUACUUAGACUUAAUUUACAGAAAACAUCAUACUUAAAUCUAUGCUUUUCUGAUUUAGAAAUGAUUGGAUGCAGAAUAUGUUGCCAGCAUUUUAUCAAAGUUGUUGUGACAUGUUAAGCAAAUGGGAGAAGAUGGUGUGUACAGAAGGAUACAGUGAGUUAGAUGUGUGGCCUUAUCUUGUAGAUUUGACAAGAGAUGUGAUUUCCCGAUCUGCUUUUGGAAGCAGCUUCGAAGAAGGCAGACGAAUUUUCCAAUUACUAGAGGACCAACUCGUUCUCACAAUCAAAUUAAUACAAACUGUUUACAUUCCAGGAUGGAGGUAACCCUCAACUUAAUUUACUUGAAAAAGGUUGCAAAUGUUGGAAUUGGCUAAAUUCGUGUUUGUUUUCUUGAAGGUUUUUGCCAACAAAGACAAACAGGGAGAUGAAGAUGAAACACAGACAUAAAAGAGUCGCUUAGGGAAAUGAUAAAGAGAAGGGAGAAGGCAAUUAAAGCAGGGGAAGAGAGCAAUGAGGACUUGUUGGACAUACUUGUGGAAUCCAAUAUCAGAGAAAUGGAAGCAAAGAAAAAGGGGAUGAGCAUUGAGGAUGUGAUUGAGGAAUGCAAGCUGUUUUACUUUGCUGGCCAGGAGACCACUUCGGUCUUGCUGGUGUGGACUAUGGUUUUAUUAGCAAGGUAUCCCGAUUGGCAAAGUAAAGCAAGAGAGGAGGUUUUGCAUGUUUUGGGUGACAGUAAACCUGAUGCUGAUGGCCUUAAUCGUCUCAAAGUUGUAAGUCCCUAGCAUGUCUCUUGAAGGUCCGAUCUCUGAGGUCGACAACUCAAAAACUUGGUUUCUUUGUUUCGCUAAUUCUACAGUUAACAAUGAUAUUGUACGAGGUUCUAAGGCUGUACCCACCAGUGAUUGAGCUAGGACGUUCCGUUCCAAAAGAAAUAAAACUGGGAAAUUUGUUGUUACCAGCAGGAACAGACGUUUCGGUUCCAAUCCUGCAGAUCCACCAUGACAAAGAUCUUUAGGGCGACGACGCACGGGAAUUUAAGCCACAGCGGUUCACGGAAGGGGUUUCCUAAGCAACAAAGAGUCAAGUCACGUUUCUGCCAUUCGGAUGGGGUCCUAGGAUCUGCAUUGGCCAAAACUUUGCCAUGAUGGGAACCAAAAUGGCGAUGGCUAUGAUUCUCCAACGCUUCUGGUUCGAGCUUUCCUCUUCCUAUGCUUACUCUCCUUACAACAUGGCAACUCUUCGUCCACAGCAUGGUGCACAGAUAAUUUUACAAAAACUUGGCUGUAAUUGAAUUGUUAUGUAAACAAAUCUUUGUGAAAAUAUAGUGUUUUAGUGUAUCGUCAAAGUCUGCCUGUAAUGGUACAAUUCCGAUGCAUGAAUAGUAAAUCUUGAGAUGUUUGGUGAAGUCCGAAAUAAUAUGCAGAAAUUGAGUGUCUUGAAUGGAUGUAGUAUUUAAUGGUGGACAUAGUUGAGGGACUAAUGUGGUAAUUAUCAAACAAAUAAUUGCAUAUGGUACAAAGACUUGUAUGGAAAUUAGAGCAGGGCGAGUUGAAAAUUACUACUUUGCUUCGGGCAUCAAUUUAGAAAGAUUUAAAGUACAAAUGUAUUAUUAGUUUAAGGGAUUUGUUUUAAAGAAGGAAUGACAAUUAAACCUCAUGGUUGAUGUGUGGAAGGGAACCAAUGAUGGGAUGAUUACUCUUAGUGGUAAAAAAAAAAACUAUUAAGGUGGUUAUUAUAGUUGUUAUCACCGGCCCAAAAUUCGAAUAGGUUCAGGUCGGAUUAUAUUGAGCUUGUAGAUGAGUUUGCAUGAUAAUAGGUGUUCACAGAAAGAUAUCUAUAGUUUCCUACAAAGUCACAUGUGAGAUCGUGCAUUGGGACCGCAUAAAAAUGUUUUAUGUUUAGAAUAUGAUACGUGUCUAUGUGUAUGGAAUCUACCUAAUAUAUCAUAUUAAUUAAUAGUAUCAAUUGCGGAGCCAAAAAAUUAUUUCUGAGGGGUCAGAAUUAAAUUGUAUAUUUUUACAAAAAUAAAAAUUAAAUUUCACUAUUUUAAUAGUUUAUUUCUUUUUAAUUUUUAAAUGAUUAAAUUAAAUUUUUAUAAAUUUUUGGGAUCAAAGUACAAUUUUAUCAUUUCUAAUUUAAAAUUUUAUAAAAUAUAAAAAGUUUAUAUGAAAAGUUUUCUAUUUUAGAGUGGCCAAAGCCCCUGCCAACUUCCGACUCGAUCACUAAACAAUAUAAAUAAAUAAAUACCACCAUCUAAAAGACUCAAGAAAAACACUCAACGAUAAAUAGAUAGAUGUUGGGUAAAGAUACGUUUGGAUGGGCGGUGCGUUUACUUGCGGUUAGUAUAAAAAUAGCGGUGGCGGUUAGAUUAGAUACUAUAGCAACACUGUAGCGUAAGACAAAAAAUAAGCUAAACGUACUGCACUGCACUUAAUCGCCCAUCCAAACUCACCCUAAGUGUACAAAAUAUGAUUUAAGUGAAGAUACGUAGGGUAGGUGUCAUGGAAAUGUAAAAGACAAGAAUCCCACUAAUGUAUGGGAUGUGUACAGCUGAAUGUAGGGAGCAAAGAGGAGUGAAUCAUUUUGGUAACAUUUGGACAAGAAACAUAAUGAACAAAAUGAAAGGAGAGGAAGCUAGUAAAAGAUUUUUUUGAGUUAUAUAAUUUGUUUGGCAUAUAUUUUUAUAAUUUUUAAAUAUCAUUUUGGAGUUGAAUUAUAAUUUCUUUUUAUGUUUUAAAACAUAAUUAUUCUAUCUUCAAAGGGUUAGAGUAGAGGUGAGCAUGGGUCGGGCUACUCGGCCCGAAAUGUGAGAGAUUUGGGCAAAAAUAUAGGCUCAAAAAAUGGACUUGGACAAAAAAAUAUAAGACCCGUUGAAAAAUGGGCCGGGCAUUGGGUAAGGCAUUUUUGGCCCUGGGCCCGGCCCAAUCCUAAUUCACUAAAGGACAAAAAAAAUUUGAUUUUUAAAUAUUAUUUUCUUCCUAUUUUGCUACCAUUUUACUAUUAUGUUGCUACUAUUUUGUUGUUAUUUUUUGGAUAUUGUAUAAAACUUAUUUUAUUGUUAAUUUUGUUAUUAUUUUAAAGACAUUUGUUAAUUUUGUUAUUAUUUUAGAGACAUUUGCUUGUUAAGUUGUAUCUAUCUUAGUGUUAUUUAAGUGUACAUAUUUUUUAAAAUUUAUUUUCAAUUUAUUGGGAAAUAUUUAUUUUGAUGUUUUUAGUAUUUUGGAUGUAUUAUAUAUAUUAAAAUUAUAUAAAAAUUAAUAUGGCCGAGCCGAGUCAGGCCCAGAUUUUAGCAUUUUUAUUCAGGUCGGGCUUGAGCAAAAUUUUAAGCCCAUUUUUUGGGCCAAACCAGGCCUGGGCUUAGCAAAUGGGCCUAAAUUUUUAGUCAAGCCCGACCUAAACCCGAUCCGGCCCAUGCUCACCUCUAGAUCAGAGCUGCCCUCGCUUUGCAUUUCUUUGAGAUUCAGUCUUAUCUACUGUUGAUUGCCCACUCAAUGGAGGGUUGAGUAGAAAGAUUUGGUGAAGCAAGCUAAGCUAUCAAUCAAGGUUGGAGAAAGCUUAGGAGGUCACAAUGCAUAAUUAUUUAAAUGUAAUUCUAAUAUUUAAAUAAAAUUUAUUAAUAUAGUAUUAACAAGCCCUAAAUGUAAUGAGUAUAUACUAUUACAUUUUUAAGAAGAGAAAACAUGUUUGAACCUUAAAAACAUCAUUAUUAAAAAUGAUAAUUACAAAUUUUAAAAUAUAAAAAAUAUAAUUAAAAAUUAAUUUUAAACCCGAGCUGGAUAAAAUUCUAAUUUUAGAUAACGAUACUAAUAAGAAAUCAAUAUUAAAAUGAAAAUGAAAAGUAAUUUAAUAUAAUUUUUGAGUCUUGGGCAAAGGCACUCAAUGAAUGCUUGGAAAGAAAUAAUGCAACUUGGUGAUAGCUUUUGUUGGAGUAGUAUGCUCUUAUUAUAGUUUUAUGUUUUUAUCUUGCAAAAACAACAUAUUGGAGUUUUCGGCAUGAUUUUUUCUUAAUACUUUACAUGAAAAAUAAUAAUGGGACUUAAAAAUCUAUCAAAAGCUUCACCAUAAUAAUAAUAAUAAUAAUAAUAAUAAUAAAUUGCUACAAUAUUACAACACAAAGUUACAAUAAGAGCUUAUAACUCAACAAAGGUUAUCAAUAAAUAAUCUCAGGCAAGCUAAAGAGAAAUGUUGAGAAUACCACCCGAAUAGUGACUGACUUUAAAAGUUGAAAACCCGAAGCUAUAGUAUCUCAAACGAAAUCAAACCAUUAACAUUAAAAUUUUCAAGUCUACUAGCUACUGUAAAAAAUGCAGCUCCAACAUACACCAAAUGAGUCUUUGAUCGAAGAAAGUACAAAAACUAGUCUGGGUAAACCAAGCUGCCAAACUUACUUAUCUUAUCUUUAAUUUUGCAGUGAAAUUAAAAAUUAAGUUUUUGUUUAUUUCACUUGGAACAACUUUCAAAAAAUUAUUUUUGAAAAAUGGAUUGGUUUUUCGAAAUAGAUGAUAUUUUAUUGUGUUAAAAUUUUAUUCGUUGUUGGAAAACUUUUUUUAAAUCAUUUUCUUAAAGUUAUUUUUAGUGAAACAAACAUAACAUAAAUAUAUUUGUUACAAAAAAAUUAUAUUAGUAUUUUCUUUUGACAAUUAAAAUUUAUUUUAUGAUAAGACAAUAUUUUGUAAUAAUUAAUAUCAUAUAUAUAUACGUAAUAAAAAAAUCUUGUUUAAUUAAAAUUUAAUUAAAAUUAAAUAUAUUAAUAAAGCUACAUAUAAUCAUAUUUUUUAUAAUUAAAAUAUUAAUAUAAAUAUUUUUCAAUAAUAUAUUAAAAUAUUAAAAUUUAAAUUAUUAUUACUUAAAUUAAUUAUUAAAAUAAAAAAUUUAAUAUUAAAUAAUUUAUUCAAUGAUAAGUUUUAUUAAUAAUUUAUUGUAUUAUUAAAUAUAAUUAAUUAAAUAUGCAUAUUUAAUAAUAUUACGUUAUAAUAUUUUAAUAUUCUUAAACAGCCAUGUUUUUAAGAUGCUGGUGAUGGUGAUGCUGCGGGCCUCUCUUGUUACAAUUACUAUAAUUUUUUGUGCAAUAAUUGAAGUUGUUGGGUGGUCAAGCAAACCUCUUUUGACUGAGAUGCAUAUAAUAUACCCGCAUGUCCCCGCCUCCUAAAAUUUAAAUUUGUUAUUUGAAUCUUUAAAUUUUUUAAUAUAAUAUACCCGCAUGUCCCCGCCUCCUAAAAUUUAAAUUUGUUAUUUGAAUCUUUAAAUUUUUUAAAAAUUUUAAAUUCAUAAAAGUAAAAUUAUACUUUGACCCUCUAAAAUUAUAAAAAUUUAAUUAAUCUUUUAAAUUCAUUGGGCCCCUAAUAUAUUGUUCAGGCUUCACCCUUGAUACUGAUGUUGACUAUUUUAGAGUAUGUGUCUUCUUUAACAGGGUUAAAUUAUAUAUUUAUAUAAUAUAGUUAUUGUUUAUGGACGUGACAUCGUAACUAGGUUCUUAUGCAUGUCAACAUAUAUCCUAUUUUAAGGUUAACACGUAUUUUUAAAUGUGAAUUCACCUAUAUAAUGGUAUGAACCAUCAUGCAGUCUCAUAAAAUAUGCGAAUAUAUGUCGUGCGAACACAAAGUACAAUCCACACAGAAUACGAAUUAAGACCCAAUUGAAUAAUCGGAUACGAAUCAGUAAUAAUGAAUUUCAUAACAGCCACCAACCCCUCUUUUGUUUUAAUUUAUUUUAUUUCCAGUAAGUUAUUGUUUGUGAGAAUUCACAACAAAUGCUUUUGUCAUUAUUUUGUUGGUAAAUAAUAAUAAGAUUAAACUUUACUUUCUUAAGCUCCUUCAAUUCUUUGGAAGUUGGUGGUUUUUUAUUCUAAUCUUAUUUUUUUUAUUAAUUUCUUUUUUUAUAAUAAAUGUGUUUAUAGAUCAGGUUGGAUUAUAAUUGAAUCAUUGUCUGGUAUUAACAUAAUUUAAAUCGAUUAAAAUUUAUUCGACUGGAAAUAUAAAUUUAAAAUUUUACUUCAAUUUAUCUUAAUUUAUAAAUUGUGAAUUUAAAUUUAUUUAUUUUCUCUCAUUAUAUUCAGUUUUUCGGAUCAUAUUUGGCCCAGAACAAAAACUAGAACAAAAAAACAAAUAUAUAUGUUUUCCAAAAAUUAAAUUGUUAACUUUAAAAAAAUAUAUUUUUAGCUAUUUAUCAUCAUAGAGAAAAACAAAUAAGGUCACCUCGCCUUAUGCUUCAACACCUCAACCUAGAUUCUCAUCACCUGUAUUUAUCAUCGAUUCAGAUUUUUAUUUUUACUAUAUUCUAGAUCUACCUAUAAAUAUAUCUUCAAACUUCCUCUGGUUAAGUUCAUUCAUAGAUAGGUGAGUAAACUUGAGCUUCAGCUUCAACAAACACCUUAGUUUGCAAUUCUCUCAUACUAAAAAUAUGGAAGUUUACCAUGUAAUUAGAGAUUUGGUCUCAUUGCUUGUUGUUGGUUUAUUAAUGAUAUGGGGAUGGAGAGCUUUAAACUGGGUAUGGUUGGCCCCAAAGAGGCUCGAAAGGUGCUUGAGACAACAGGGUUUUGCAGGGAAUCCUUACAGGUUCCUUUCUGGUGACAUAAAAGAGCUCUUAACUAUGAGCAGACAAACAAGAGCCAAACCUAUGCCUCUUAGUGAUGAUAUUGGGCCUUAUGUUGCUCCUUUUCUUCAUCAAACUGUCAACCAGUAUGGUAUGUUUAAUUAUUAUUUAAUCUUCAAUUUAUGAUAAUUCUUUGUUAUUUAUGAAUGGAAUUUAUUGGGAGGAAAUGCAGGAAAGAAUUCAUUUACGUGGAUUGGUCCAAGACAAAGGGUGAACAUUAUGGACCCUGAAAAAAUAAGAGAAAUAUUUACCAAAUUUAAUGACUUCCAGAAGGUGCGUACCAAUCCACUGCUUACUUUGCUUGUAAGCGGCCUUGUUAACCUCGAAGGAGACCGAUGGAGCAAACAUAGAAAAAUCAUAAACCCUUCAUUUCAUCAAGAUAAGUUGAAGGUAUAGAAUAGUGAUGGGUACUUAAGACUUAAUUUACAGAAAACAUGAUACUUAAAUCUAUGCUUUUCUGAUUUAGAAAUGAUUGGAUGCAGAAUAUGUUGCCAGCAUUUUAUCAAAGUUGUUGUGACAUGUUAAGCAAAUGGGAGAAGAUGGUGUGUACAGAAGGAUACAGUGAGUUAGAUGUGUGGCCUUAUCUUGUAGAUUUGACAAGAGAUGUGAUUUCCCGAUCUGCUUUUGGAAGCAGCUUCGAAGAAGGCAGACGAAUUUUCCAAUUACUAGAUGACCAACUCGUUCUCAGAAUCAAAUUACUACAAACUGUUUACAUUCCAGGAUGGAGGUAACCCUCAAUUUACUUGAAAAAGGUUGCAAAUGUUGGAAUUGGCUAAAUUCGUGUUUGUUUCCUUGAAGGUUUUUGCCCACAAAGACAAACAGGGAGGUGAAGAUGAAACACAAAGACAUAAAAGAGUCGCUCAGGGAAAUGAUAAAAAGAAGAGAGCAGGCAAUUAAAGCAGGGGAAGAGAGCAAUGAGGACUUGUUGGACAUACUUGUGGAAUCCAAUAUCAGAGAAAUGGAAGCAAAGAAAAAGGGGAUGAGCAUUGAGGAUGUGAUUGAGGAAUGCAAGCUGUUUUACUUUGCUGGCCAGGAGACCACUUCGGUCUUACUGGUGUGGACUAUGGUUUUAUUAGCAAGGUAUCCCGAUUGGCAAAGUAAAGCAAGAGAGGAGGUUUUGCAUGUUUUGGGUGACAGUAAACCUGAUGCUGAUGGCCUUAAUCGCCUCAAAGUUGUAAGUCCCUAGCAUGUCUUUUGAAGGUCCGAUCAAUAAGGUCGACAACUCAAAAAUUUGGUUUCUUUUUUCGCUAAUUCUACAGUUAACAAUGAUAUUGUACGAGGUUCUAAGGCUGUACCCAUCAGCGACUGAGCUAGGACGUUCCGUUCCAAAAGAAAUAAAACUGGGAAAUUUGUUGUUACCAGCAGGAACAGAAAUUUCGGUUCCGAUCCUGCUGAUCCACCAUGACAAAGAUCUUUGGGGCGAUGACGCACGGGAAUUUAAGCCAGAGCGGUUCGCGGAAGGGGUUUCCAAAGCAACAAAGAGUCAAGUCACGUUUCUGCCAUUCGGAUGGGGUCCUAGGAUCUGCAUUGCCCAGAAUUUUGCUAUGAUGGAAGCCAAAAUGGCGGUGGCCAUGAUUCUCCAACGCUUCUGGUUCGAGCUUUCCCCUUCCUAUGCUCACUCUCCUUGCAGCAUGGUAACGCUUCGUCCACAGCAUGGUGCACAGAUUAUUUUACAUAAACUUGGCUCUAAUUGAGUAGUUAUGUAAACAAAUCAUUGUGAAAAUAGUGUUUUAACGUAUCGUAAAAACUCCGGUGUCUGUAAUGGAACAAUUCCGAUGCAUGGAUAGUAAAUUUUGUGAUGUUUGGUGAAGUCCGAAAUAAUAUGCAGAACUUGAGUGUCCUGAAUGGAUGUAGUAUUUAAUGGUGGACAUAGUUGAGGGACUAAUGUGGGAAUUAUCAAACAAAGAAUUGCAUAUGGUACAAAGACUUGUAUGGAAAUUAGAGCAGGGGGAGUAGAAAAUGACUACUUCUACGGGCAUCAAUUGAGAAAGAUUUCCGGUGCAAAUGUUAGCAAAUUUUUGAGCUUCAGCCUUAAACAUUAGCAAGAUUGCAAUACCGGGAUUAUCUAGUGUUGGUUGCCCACUCAAUUGAGGGUUAAGUUGAAGGAUUUGUUGAAGCAAGCUAAGCUAUCAAUCAAGGUUGGAGCAAGCUUAGGAGGUCACAAUACAUCAUUAUUGCAUAAUUAUUUAAAUGAAAUUUAAUAUUUAAAUAAAAAAUAUUAAUAUAGUACCAACAAUAUUCCAUUUCUUUUAACCAAGUGUUUCUAGAUUAUGAAAUUCAUUAAUGAUUUGUAAAAUAUAUUGAUGCGAUCCCGGCCGCAUCAUGUUUCGAUACAACUCGAUGACCUCAGAAUUGACCUAAACUCUAGGGGCCCAAGUGCAAAAUGAAGCUUAAUUUCAGCUCAAUGAGCUCAAUUCUAGCUUCUUCAAGCUCGUCUAGUUCAACCCAAGCUCAUUUAGCUUAACUUCAACCCAUUUUUAAUUUGUUGGAAUAAGUAUUUAGUUGCUGGAAUAAAUUACUCAUCUUAGUUAAUUGAGUUCAUCUUAGUUAAUUAAGUUGUUGGAAUAUAUUACUCAUCUUAGUUAAUUUAGUUGCUAGAAUAAUUUAUUGUUGCAUGUGUUUUUAAGUUUAUUAAAUUCAGUUAAGUGUUAAAUGUGUUUAUUUACAGUUUAUUAACUAAGCUUGUUAAGUCUAAUAUGUGUUAAAAUGUGUUUAAUGUGUUUGUUUGUAGGUGACUAAUCAGUUGGAAACAAUUAUGUACAAGGGCUGUUACAAAGUGUUAAAUGCGACUAUUCAUUUGGAAUCGGUUACAUACAAGGGGCUAUUACAUUAUUUAAAGGAGAGCAUUAUACAUCAUUUAAAGGAGAAUUUAAAGCUUUUCUUAAAACUUUUUGGCUGCUCAAGAAUGAAAUCUAAGCAUUCAAGCUUAUUAAAUCAACUGAAUUAGAACAUUAAAUGAUCUUAUUGAUAGUUGCUGUUAUUUAGGCCUAGAAUUUCAAGAGUUUGUGCUUAGUGACUAAGUUAAUUUCAGCUCAUUAUUAGCUCAUUAAGCUGAACAAAAGUGACUAUUCGGCUAGGCCUCAUCUAGCACUAUAAAUACUUGUAAUCAGCUCAUUGUAAAAAAAACUUUUUGCUGAAUUUAUGCUAAAUUUGAAACUUGUGAGAUUUCCAAUUCUCGUUGUUCUUUCGAGAUUGAAUUGACUUAUCAAGUUUUCUUGUGGCAUCAUUCUUUCUUUUGUUUAAACCGAAUCUUAUCACCUUUUGGUGUGGCGUUCAUAUACAUUUGGUUCCUAUCACUUUUGAUAGUGGGUAAAGGUCAUUGCUGCUUUCUUUAAAUCGUAAAUCACCUAAGAGCCAUUUUGAGACUCGGGUCAACAAUCUAAUAUUGUUGGUUCAUUCUCGGUCUUAGCCAAAUUAUCCAUUAUUUACUUAACCAUUUUACCUACUACCAUUGUUUGAAGCCAUUUAUCCUAUUUUGUUUCAUUUAACUGAAACGAACUUAUCCUUACUCAAUUCACGAUCGGGUAAUCUAAACGACUCGAAUCAUUCCGAAACGAGUUCGUAUCAUAUAUCCUCCAUUCUUAUUGAGUGGGUGUAAUGAAAAUUCUCCUAUUUCUAAUUGUGAUAAAGUAGAAACUCUCUUUAGAAAAAAGGCAGCAACAUUUUUCAAUUAUUAAUUGAACACCUUGGUGAAUUUUCGUUUUUUUUCUUUUUUUCUUUUUACGGUUCAAUUUUCGUUUGGGUAUUGUAAUUUCAGGUUAAUCAUUGUUUGGUUGAUAUUCUCAACUUCAAUCUUUAAUUUACUUGAGAUUAUUAGUUGAUUGUUUUUGUUGGAAUUAUAUGAUUUUAUUGUGUAUUUAUGUUUUAAUCUUUUAGAAAGAAGUUUUUAUGUGGACUUUCAAGCUUCGUAAUUUUUAUUAUUUGCUUUACGUAAAAAAAACUCGUGGGAUACAAAAAUUCACAAAAAAACUUGCUAUAAGAUUACAACACAAAACCAUAAGCUUAUAACUCAACAAAAGCUAUCAAUAAAUAAUCUCAAGCUAGCUAAAGAGAAAUGUAAAGAAUAUCACCCAAACAGUAACUUGCUUUAAAAGUUAAAAAUCCAAAGUUAUAGUACCCCAAACGAAAAUCGAAUAUUAAACAUUAAAGAUCUUCGAUUCUACUAGCUAUUGUAAAAAAAAAAAAUUCCAACGGACACCAAAUAGACCUUUGAUCGAAGAAAAUACGAAAACUAGUCUGGUUAAAACUACAUGCCAAACUCACUUUUUCUCAUUUCUUUAACUUGCGGUGAAAUUCAAAACUAAGGUUAUAUUUUUUUCACUGAAAUUAACUUUAAAAAAAUUAUCUCUAAAAAAUGAUUGAUUUUUCAAAAAAGAUUGAUAUUUUUUUAUGUUUGGAUGAUUUUUUGUAAAAUAUAUUUCGUUGUUUGACAAAUUUUUUUGAAAUAAUUUUCUUAGAGUUGUUUUUAGUAAAACAAACAUAAGAUAGAUAUAUUUGUUACAAAAGAUUAUAGUAACAUUUUCUUUUGACAAUUUAAAUUUAUUUUAUAACCAGAUGAUAUUUUAUAAUAAUUAAUAUUAUAUAUAAACUUAAUAAUAAACAAUAUCUAAUUAAAACUUAAUUUAUAUUAAAUAUAUUAAUAAAGCUAAGUAUAAUUUAAACAAAUACUCAUGUUUUAUAUCAUUAAAAUAUUAAUAUAAAUAUUUUUCAAUAAUAUAUUAAGAAUAUUAUUUAAAAUUUAAAAUUAUUAUUUUUAAAAUUAAUUAUUAAAAUAAAAAUGUAAUAUUAAAUAAUUUAUCAAAAUGAUAAGUCAUAUUAAUAAUUUAUUAGAUUAUUAAAUAUAAAUAAUUAAAUAUGUAUAUUUAAUAAUAUUGAACAUUAUAAUAUUUUUUAUUAAUAUUUUAAUAUUAUUAAUAUAAUAAUAUUGGACUUGAUUCAAGUUAAUUUUUAUAUAAAAAAAUAAAAUUACAUGUAAAUGAACUCAUUUUCAAAAAAAUAACUUGUACUUUUAAAAAAGGUAAACUAAUUUACAGAAAAAUAAACUUAUUUUCUGUUAAUCUAUAAUUUUUUUUGUUAAUCAAAUUAUUUUCAUGAAAUAAAUAUAAAAAAAUACAAAAAAAAAACAGUUUCCAUAUUAACACUCAAUACUAAACUGUCAUUUUCCUCAGCUUCCCUAAUUUGUAUGUAGCAGUGAACGUUUGAUCGAAUCGAGUAAAAAAAAUUGAGUUGACGAGUCAUAUUUUAUCAUCUUAACUUGAUUUGAGAUUUUUUUAAAUCAAGUCAAAGACUAAGAGCACAUAAAUUUGAAACCUUAUCUAUUUGAAUUUGUUUUUAAAAAAAAAGAAAAAAAAUACUUUAGCAUGAUAAACUUGAAUUGUGAAUUAACUUAUUUAGAUCCCAAAAUUAUUAUUUUAUAAUUUUUUUAAAAAAUAUAAAUUUUAAAAUUUUUAUAAAUAUUUUGAAUUGAAUUUUUGUUGAGAGAGAGACCGAUCUAUCAUUUUCAAAAUUAAAAAAAAGACCAAACUAUAUUUACAGCAAUUUAUUAUUCGAAUUAUUUAAAUUAUAUAAUUUAACUCAAUUUAAAAUCGAAACUCGAAUAACUAAAUUUAAUUAACCCGAAAUUUAUUUUUUAAAUUUUUUAAAUCAAAUCGAAUUUUGUUCGCCCUACAUCAAUAACUUUGUAUCCAUAUCAAGCUUUUUUUUAAGCUAUAUAUAUUAUUUUAGAGAAUACAUGGUCACCACGGUUCAAUGAUUGAACACCACUCCACUCUCCACUUUUUUUUGUGGUUUAUCCUCUUAAUUUUUUGAGGAUAUCAUUUACUAAAUAAUUUAUUUUUUACAUAAAUUUUAAUAUAUAUUAAUAAUAAAUUAAUUCAAUUGGUAAUAUUUAACUAUUCUCAUGACUCAUUUUUAAUAAAGAAAAUAAUAAAAUUCAAUUAUGAUAAGGAGGUUUUAUUUUUAACAAAAAUUAUUUUUUAUAUUUCUAAGUUUAAAUCUAAAUUUAUACAAGUUAUUCUUUAUUUUAUAUCUAAUUAUUGUAAAACAUAAAUAAUAAUUUUUUUUUUUCCUUUUCAUGCUACCAAACAAUCCAUUAAUCAUUAAUUAUAUUAAAAUCUUUGACUUAUUAAUAUUUAUGGACAGUAAAUCGGAUGCUAAAGAAAUCUUAGUCAAACCAAAAAGAAAGAAGAGAUAGAGGUGGGCAAAGCUGAGGUUCAGCUUUCAUAAACACCUUCAUUUGAAGACACAGUUCUCAUACUCAAACCAAAAGACAUGGAAGUUUUCCUUGUAAUUAGAGAUCUGGUUUCACUGCUUGUUGUUGGGUUAUUAAUGAUAUGGGGAUGGAGGGCUUUAAACUGGGUAUGGUUGACCCCAAAGAGACUCGAAAGGUGCUUGAAACAACAGGGUUUUGCAGGAAAUCCUUAUAGGUUCCUUUCUGGAGACAUCAAAGAGAGCUUCACUAUGAGCAGACAAACAAGAGCCAAACCUAUGCCUGUUAGUGAUGAUAUUG
rnacentral:lncRNA from 1 species